rnacentral:lncRNA from 1 species
GCCACAUCAGUUUGUACAAAAUAAAUUUGUACAAGAGUUUGUGGCUGUAUCAUUACUCUAUUUAAUUUAACCAAUCUUAUCAUGCCACAUCAGUUUGUACAAAAUAAGUUUGUACAAGAGUUUGUGGCUGUAUCAUUACUCUAAAGCUUAUUAAGUCCAAAAUUAAAAUUAAAGCUAAAUGAUAUUUGCGAAUUUCACCAUGGCCAAUUCUUUUACGCUUUUGUCUUCCUUUGUCAUAUUUGUUGCUUUCCAUAAUGUUGUGUGUAUGUAUACAAAAUAAGAACGCAAUGUUUGUAUUCCAGCUAAUAGGAUUAUGACGCUGCAUCAUCAUAAAUUGCCGUACGUGGUGUGGGUACAAGUGCAUGGUUUUAAUUGUUUUAUUAUUUCACUUUUACAUGGUGAUUUAUAUGAGAAUUAUGCAAAUGUCACAUAAGUUGGGAUUACAAAUUAUAUAUUCUAACCUUAUAAUAAAUGUGGCGCUAAUACUCUUGUGGGCACGCAUACAAUCCUAAUCAUAUAUUAAUUUUCAAAUUAAAAAAACAUAGUACUGACUUGAUUUUUCUUCUAUGACUAUUUUCUCCGAGUAACAAUAUCUAUAUAUAUAUAUAUAUAUAUAUAUAUAUAUAUAUAUAUAUAUAUAUAUGAGGGUGGAAAACUGCUAGGCCCAUAAUGUAAAUUUCAGUACACUCAUCUAACAAUAAUGAGUUUUUGUGAUCAUAAAUGAACGUAGAACAAAAGCAAAUUAAGAUAUGAAUAUAUAUAUAUAUAACAUUUAUCAAUGUAUAUUACAGCGUUUCAGAACAGAGAGCUACAACUCAUCUUGUUUGAUGACACUUCCAUGUCAAAUAUCACAUGAAGUGUCUAAACUGCUAGCUUAUAUAUACAACUAUAGCUAGACUAACAUAUCAUCCGCUAUAUAAAGAAGCAGCACUAGUUCUUGACAGCUAAAAGACAAUGUACCCAAUAAACUAAUUAAGGGAUCAAGAAGCAUUAAAGAAAUGGCUUAUGAUUCCCCCCCCAAUAAUCUGAUAAUUAAAUCAUAAUAACCCCAGAACCAAUGAUCCUAAAUACAAACUGAUAGCUUUUAUUUUUUUAAUAUAUAUGCUUAAAAUGCUUUCUGAUAGAAGCCAUCAAUCCUCUUCCAAGAGUCUUCCCUUUGCAUCUUCAACUGCUUGUAAAAAUUCCCGAUAAACAUCUCAGCUUUAGUAAACAGCUCUUGCCCACUUAGCCCUCCAACUUCUUCUUCUUCCUUCUCUUCAUAUAGCCCAUCACCAAAUACUUGAUGAUCAUCUGCCGUUUCGGUCUCUCCACUUCCAAUGAAGAAAAGGCUCGGCGUCGACGGACACUUCUUCAGUUUGUUAACCUUGACAGCACCAGAGAUCUUCUCAGAGACAGACUUUUCGACAGCUUUCACCUUCUUUAUUUCACUGUUUGGAGGAGAAGCACCAGCUUUUGUAGCCUCAUCAUCAGUAGAGGCUCCUUGAGCAUUCUUGUGAUCUUCUGGAGGCUUGGAGGGACCUGACGAGAGAAGGCCAGCUUCGGCUCCAAGAGCUAUAAUGAGAAUAUUGAAGACAAAGUAUAGAUAGGUUGGCCUUAAUGAGGAGGACAAGAGUGGUGUUAUGAUUAACAGUGAAGCUAAUAGAGAAAGCAUUAGGAUUUGGGACUUCUUGAACACACCACUGUUCAUGGCUUCAAUUCAGCUGAGUUGAGUGAGUGAAAAUGAUGAUGGGAUUUUGAACAAAUUUGAAGAAUGAUAUUGAGAUGUAUAAUUAGAAGUGUUUGGUGGUAGUAGAGAUCAAGCGGAGGCUUCUGGGAAUAUUUAUAGAGGAAUUUGUAUAUUACCUGCAUGGAUACUAUUAUUAAAAAAAAAAAAAAAGAGUAAAGAAAAAGAAAAAAGUACAAAAGACAUCUGUAAUGUCAAAGUUUUUAUAUAUCAUGAGAGGCGCCCUGAUUAUGUUUGAUAAUUUUUAAUCCUUAAUUAUAAUCAUAUUAUGUACGACACAUUUCCAUUUCGGAUUAUAAAGUAGAGGUUGAUAGUUGAUAACGUAGUAGAUAUGAAUUUAAAUUCUAUAAAGAUUUAGUUGGGUUAAUUUUUUUAAAAUCUUAUGUUAUGUAUAUAUUUAUAAGAAUAGUCGAUGAAGAUUUAAUCACAUAUAUAUUCUUAUUCGCUAACUAUCAAUUACUAUCUUAUAAAAAUAUCAACACAAAUCUCAGAUUAUCACUAAACCUAAAUUCAGUAUAAAGUUUAAGUACGUUGAGGAAAUUUUAGUGAUGAGAUGUUCUAUUGUAUCACUUUUAUUGUCUCAAUUUGGAUUAAGCUAACAAGUACUCUGAUCCAUAAUCUUCAAUACGAAUGAAAUUCUUAUACCCUUAUCUUAUUAAAAAAGAGACACUCUUGCAUUAUCAACCCUCCAAAAUCAAUAUCAUAAGAGAUAAUUAUAGGUUAAUAGAUAAAUUUUCAAACCAAUUAACAUUAACGUUAGCAACACAGAGAGAUAGAAACAAAGCAUUUGCAUGAAAAGAGGAGAGACAAGAAAUAUAGAGACGAGAACGUGCAAGGGGGAGAAGAUGUAAAUAUGAUUGGACAAGGCUUGAUAAGGUCGGUGAAAGCGAGCAUAUUCUCCAAUCUCUAUUCACUUUUUUCGAUUUGUUUUCUUUUAUUUAAUUUGUUGAACGAAGAAAUGCAUAUUCGCCAAACUUUAGUUUGAUAAGCUCUUUGCCCGAUUCUUACACAAACGUGCGGUUUGGAUCGCCACUACAGAAUUGCCUCAAACUUCAGUUACCCUCAGUAGUGGGUCCCACAUGUGGAGUUAUUGUAGAAUCUUUGACUUUUGACCCCACCACAGAAUAUGUCCGCCCAACUAGCAUGUCUCACUUGUAAUUAUUGCGCUUGUGGUCCCCCGAGUGCGUUCUUAUGGCCCGCUUUUUGACUCCUAUCAGGCCUCGCUUGGGCCGGCCCAUUCUGCGAGCCAGCUAACUACCCCUUACAGUAGUACUCGUGUGACUUAAACCUUCAUAGUACUGGACUAAGAAAAAACAAAAAUAUUUUUAACGAGGUUAUUUACUCAUCAGUUAAUGAAUAUAUAUAUAUAAAUUUAUCAGCAAAUAAAUAUUUAUUAAUUUAAAAAAUAAUUUUAUAUUUUACUUACUCGUGACAUCUUAGUACGUGUACUAUUCCUUUUACUAAUAUUCAUGUAAAAAUUUUCAAAAGUCAUAAAUGUUAUGUACAUGUAUGUAGAUGCCCCAAAAUUAAUGUAAAUACAUAAAAUUGAUGUAUGUUAGCUGUACUUUUCAAACUUAAAUACCAUAUAAAAAUAAAAUAUUUCAGAUACUUAAAGUACAUUAGUCGCUUGUUUUAUUUUUAGGUUCAAAUCAUUAAAUGCAUGCUUUGGAAAGAGUUGAAUUAAGAAAAUUGAAGUUGUCCCCCCCCCCCCCCCCCAAAAAAAAGAAACUCCUUAAUAUUAUAAGUUUAAUAUGUUAUGUACUAUUAUAAUUUUUUUUUUGCAUUUGAUUAAUUAUUAAUUUAUAUUUUUAUGGGACCCUAAAAUAUUUGAGGGAAAAAAAGGAAAUUGUUAUCUUACGCGUUUAGAAAGAUUAUUAAUUUAAUAUAUUAACCUAAGUUAAGACCAAUAAAUUUUAUUAUUUAAUUAAAAAAAUUAUUAAUUUAUCAAACAAUAGCGAGGUUUAUCUUUGAGAAAGUUCUUGCGGGCGCAAACAAAGAGGGCAUUUCAAGGCAAUAAUCAACAUCAAUUUGCUUUUUCAAUUCCUAGGAGAAUUUUAAUUUUAUGAUCCCCCAGGAAAAGUGGAAUAACAAAAAUGUGAAAAGUUAUUUGGAUUUUCGGCAAAUAUUUAAUCCAUAUCAACCCUUUUUCAAAUCUCUGUGUUCAAGUUUAUCCAUGCUUUGCCCCACCUUUUUUUUUUUCUUUUUCCCCUCAGCAAAUUGAACGAUUACAUAAUCAUCUUCAUCUCCAUUGGCGGGUAUGCAUUGGAGAAUCUUUUCACCAAGUCUUUUCUGACUGCAUUUACUUUCCUACGUGGGUCAGAUAACUCGAUUAAAUUCUCAAAGUAGCAAAAGAAAUGUUCAACACGCACACUAAUCUUUUGAUUACAAACUUAAUAUGGGAAUUAUUCCCUGUCCAUGUGACAACUAAUCACCAUUGUAUUUUUGGUUAUAAUUGGCCAUUUUUCGGGCCUUUUCUUUCUUCUUUCUUUUUCCUUUCAAAAUCUGUCAGCUUAUGUGCAAAUUGCCAUGAAGUGAUGCCAACUAGGCUCCGUAGAUACACCAGCUGGAAAGCUCGACCUACGCUCCGCUUGCUAUGAUGUAUGACAAGAAUCAAAGGUCGAGUUCCAUUAUUAGACAAGAUUUUAUUCUCCCUAGACGAAUUGUGCCCGUAAGUUAGUAUUAUUUUGUCGCGGUUUGAUUUUAUCAAACACCCGUAUUAUGAUGCUAGGUGGAGACACCUUAUCAUAUGCUUCAAGCUACCAUGCCUUGAAUCAAUAUGAAAGAUGAAUCUAUCCCACUAGGCUCGUUCGAGGCAAUCCAGUUGUCAAUGCAAACAAAACCCACAAGUAGAAUUUGAUUUAUCUGAAAGAAAUGAUCUUCUUUUCUGAGUUUCAACCAUUGAUUUGGUUGGUCUUUUUGCAAGCUGAGAUUGUUAUUUGAGAUCCCACCAAAACAAAGAGAUGGCCAUUAGCUGGCUUUACUCUUUCUAGUUUUGGAGCCAAUAAGCCUACUGUCAAUCCCUUCACCCCUGGAAGACAAACUGGAGAUGUUGCUUGUGAUUUUCACCAAUCCUUGAACUGGUGAUCUUCACCCUGCCUCCUACACUUAACUCCAUUCAUCUAAUUCCACUUGGCAUCAACAUGAUUAAAUGGGCUGCAAGAUCAAAGUCAUAGUGCAGACAAUUUCAAUGCAGUAGAUCGAUCGUUAAAAGUUGAUAAUCAACUUAGUUCCUUUUGUAAUAAGACAAAGUCCUUAGUUAAACACAUAUAUUGUUAAAUGAUCGUUUAAAAGGAGAGGUAUUACAUGACCAAGAAACAUAUCACUUUGGGAGCUAUCAAUCUAGCACAUAUUCACAAAAUGCACAUAUGACCAAUAUCAUACUCUAAUGACAACCGCGAUAUCUACAUUUGGCUUACAUCUUUGUUUAGUCUUUUUCUUGCAUUGCUUUAUAGGUCAUCAAAAAACUUGAUAACAAAAGAAGCAUGGAACCUCAAGACAUUAAAAGAAUAAUGUGGCAUUCUAGCUAUGAUGCAUCUUGGACCUGUCUGUCAGUGUUUUGCUGAGUGGAGUGAAGAUAUAUACUCAGAUCAUCUAAACUGGGGCAGUCACGGAUGAUUAAACCAUGCUCAUUGGCCAAAUGCAGGAGGCAAAUGAAGCACAAAUGGGGCGAAAUAUCCUUUGAAGCUGCAGCUGCACAGUCAGCAGGAAAUGUUCCCAAUACAUGUCGGAAAGAUACCUUGUCCUUGCAUACCUUUUGAUAAAGGGGAAAGCACCGCAAUGAGAAUAUUGAGUUCAAGUUAAUUCAAAACCUGAAAUUAAAAACAUCUGCCAUAGACACACUAGAAAAACGAAGAUGCUAAGGGGAAGGAAGAGUUCUCUAGCAGCAUUAUAAAUUUUAACACAGGUAUCAAUGCUAUCAAAAAAUACCAAGAGAAAUUAGAACACAGUGCAUAUGAAGCGGAAUUCACAUCCAAUCAUCUAUUUAGAAAAGAACAUCUAGACUGCAAAUUGAAUAAAGAAAUUAAAAUAGACUGACAUCUUUGAACAAGAUCAAAAGGAAGAAUAAAUUAGCUGAUUUUUGAAAAAAAAAGGGAAAAGAAAAAGAAAAGGCCUACAUCUUAAUACCAUUUUUAACAGAAGUACGAAUUUAUUUGAAAGUUGGAAAGUUGAACAACUCCUAAAAAUUGAGCAACAAAUUUUACUAAGUAUUAAAAUUGUUGCAUGUCGGUCAACUUAAAAUUCAAUGAAAAUUGACCCAUUCAUCUUCAAAAAAAAAAAAAAAAAGGAAGUUAGAUAAAUACAAGAAAAACAUGUUUCAGAAAAUGAAUUUGGACCAAGUACAAAGGGAAUAAUGCUUACUGUUCCAGGAACUUCGGUAAUUUCUUGUACAUGAUACCAUAAUGUUUCCUUUAGGACAUGAAUAUUAACUUGCUUAGAAGACUUGUCAUGCUGAACCUCAAUUUUUUCUACCUGAAUGUGAAGACCAGAAGAGUGUAAAUUCCGUACACAAUUUGUUCUCUGAAUAACAUUCAAAAACAAUAUCCAGCUACAAUUAGAGAAAUCCACAUGAAUUGAGCAGCAGAAAAAGAGAUAUUCCUUAUAAUAAAAAUAUCUGCAUUUCCAAUAAUUACAUUUUGAUUUUGAAUGCUUUUAGCAGUCUGAGUGGUUAGCCGAACUGCCUCAAUCCGAUCUAGAAAACAUCCAUCACAUUCAUCACUUCUCAAGACAAAGAUUCGUUCUCUUUUUAUAAUUUCCAAAACUUUCACCAACAAAUUUCAUUUCUCAUUAAAACUUUUGUAGAACAAUUUACCAUUCUAGCUCCUAUAAUGCACAUUGGAACACCUAUUGACUUAACCCGGAAGGGCAGCAGCAUUGACUUGAUUUGAGAAAAUGUUGAAUAAUUACAAACCUGACGGGGCUGAGAUACAAGUCCAUCCAAGUCUCCCAAAUCAUUAGGAUCAUAUCGAUCAUCAUAUUGACCACUAACCACGCUCUCGUUAUCCCACGAUGGUAAAGUUCUGGCAUAAUCACAGUUUUGUUUUAUUGCAUAAUUAUCUGGAAAAGAAUAGGAAAAUAAAUACACUAAAACUGAUAUACUCUCUCACCACCUUCACUAUCAGCUACUUCUUAUGAUGCCAUCAUCAUUGUCGUGAGCAAGAGACAGUUAUACAAUUAAAAAAAAGAAAUUUAACUGGUUUUCACCAAAAGAAAAAGUGAUAGUCAGCAAUAUAGAACAAACGUCAUCAAGACCUUUGUUUGUCCUGCUACAUAUCAGCCCCUCAAUUUUUAUUUCUUUAGUCUACAUCAUUUGCCUAUGGCAUAAAAAAAUGUGUUUGUUUCUUUCAUUUCAUCACUAAAACAUUUGACUAUCCUACUCCUAACAUGAUUUGACUCGUAGGCCGUGUCACUGUUACCUCACAUUUUCACACCCUGUAAGUCAUAACUUGAGAAUUUAUUUGUAUCCAAUAUAAUCUGAUGUCUGCAAAAUAGCCGAAUCAACUUUCCCAAUAUCAUAAAUCAAGCACUAAAAAUAAAUAAAUGUCAAAGAGAAAGAGCCCCGACCUGAAAGUUUUCUCCUCCACUUCCCCAUACACUACAAUCAAUAUAGGAAUUGAUCAGAAACCACUACAAUCAUUGAAAAUACUAAAAAGAAUUUUCCAAAAAAAGGUAAAAACAUAAAAGUUGCCCACUGUCUGCACAAGGAUGGCAGCAAGAAAAAGUUGUAGCAAGUCAAUUCGGGUACAAAUGCUAACACAUACACUCCAAGCACCAAAGUUUGGGUGUGCACAGGCCACUUGGUAAUUUUUGCACAAAAUUACAAUUGAAUUGAUUCAUUAGACGAACAAUAAAAAGCUUAAGUGAGCAUACUCUUUCUAGGCUAACCAAAUAUCAAAACCAAUUUUUCCACGAGCCACCCCACACUAUUGUAUUGCGAGCAAUCAUGCAAUAAAUAAUUGCUGCAAAUAAAUAUGUAUUACCAGUACAUUAGGAAGAAGAAACAACUUGACAAGAUUCUCUGGUUGAUAAUGACAAUCUUCUGGAAGGACGUUGCUACAUGAGGGUCUAUUUGAUGGUCGAAGAAGAGACUUGGGAUUUCUCGGGGGAGCAAAAAUAUCAAGCAUUUCUUCAUCUAAAGAUUUUGUGAAAUCAAUGUCAACUUCUGCCUGGAAUUUCUUCUUCUGUUUCUUGGGAUUGAAUGCCGAUCCACUUUCUGAAGGAGAAGCAUUCUCUGAAACAACAGAAAAAGUACCAAAUUAAACAGUAAACUAAUAAAUAACAAGGACAGAUUGCAUAUAUCAGUAAUUUCAGUAUUAUUCACUUCCUGCUAAUACCUACCCUUAGACUUCUGAUACUUCCAAUGAUCUGGACCUGCCCAGGCAUUCUGUUUUGAAGUGAACCCCAGCCCUUGGAACAGAAACAUAGUAACAUCCUCAAAUCUAUCAUUUAUACCAAGUUCAUCUGCACCACAGGGGUCAUUCUCCUACACAAAACAAAUCACAACUCUAUUUAAGAGCACUACAUAUCUCCUCUUUGCAUUUCACAAGAAAUGAAAGAGAAAAUUUUAAAAGUAAAAGAAACGUGUAAUCUAUUGGUGAAGAGUAUGCAGGAAUUCUCACUAAAAAUGUAACAAAUUCCUCAUGAUCACCAGGAAAAGUAGGAUGAAAACUGGAGCUCUCAUUAACAACAGAUGUCCCCCCAUCAUGAUCAUAUCCCCAUGCUUUAUAGUUCCCAAAAGAACUAUCAUCCAAUCCAUCUUCAUUACCAAAAAAUGUUUCUUCCUUGGUGUGACUUGCAUUUGCACAACCACCCAACCCAUCUAACCUAAAAUCAAUAUUCUCGCCAAGACUGAAUAUUUGUGACCUUUGAUUAUCUUCAUCAAAUUGGCAGAUGAUCGCCCUGAGAGUUGGCGAAAUUUCAGUCUUUGCAUGCAUGUCACUCACUAUCUUCCCAAUUAAUUCUGUACAGCCCAUAUAAAUGGAUAUAGUUAAAAAAAAAAAAAAACAACAAACAAAAAUUAAAGCAUGCAAACUAAAGCUUUGUGGCUAGCAAAGUCACAUGCCUGUGGCAAAUGAGAUAUCAAUCAUAUCUGAAGAAUUGUUUUGGAGUGAGUAUGACUCACACCUCCCUGGCACUUCUAAAGAAUCAAAAAGUACCCUGCAUCCUCCAUAUACUCCAAGAUUAUUCAGUAGGAGACCUCUGGCCCCACCUUCAUCAAACUGUGCAGAUGUCUGAUGAUAUAGAGGAUCCGCCGCAAAUGCAACUGGAAACAGGAUCACGAAUUGAAAACUGGAAGGGGAAGGAAACCUUUUACUUGAAAGGAUAAUCUAAGGCUCACCUACCAUCAAACUUCUUUACAUUAAAAGUUUCAAAAGAAGACUCCAGUGUUGACAGUGGUGAAAUCUUCAAAAAGCACUUAAAUGAGUUAAAAUUCUAAUUUGUUAAAUCAUUUAAUAGACAGAAAAAAUAAUAAUAGUAAAUAAAUAAAUGUGAACCUUUCUCUCAAAGUCUCUCUUUGGAUGAAUCGCAUCUGUCCUGUUGUCAACAUUUUCACCUGCUGUGAUGGUCUCUGUCAACAAAGAACUAUGUUAGCGAUUCAACCAAAGCGUAAAUCCCUCAGGGAAGCAAAAUGCAGCAAAGUUGAAAAGAGCAAAUCCGACAUUAAUACCUAAAUAUGACAACUCAAACAUGCAGUUGAUUGAAAAGUAGCAUUUUAAGCAUUAAAGUACAAAAAUGCACAAGCUUCUUUGAUGGUCUGUCAUUUCGGGGAAAUGUAAAUUCAUAGUAUCCUCUUGCAAAGAACCCCAACUUAUAUCCAGUUUUAUUAGAUUGUUACCUCGAUCGUCCUCUUGACCAGCCCGAGUGAUUCCACCAAGGACCUUAUACGCUUGGGCAUGCACUGCAUCAACCCUCACAGAGUAAAUUUUCACCCCUGCCUCCAACGUACAACUUGCCUAUCCGUUUAAAGAGUCAUUAAUACCCAAAACAAACACAAAACACACGUCUCCACGAAUUAAUUUUUCAUAAAAUUGGUCCAAACCUUUUGGAAAUUAGUCUCUGCAUCUCCAACUGUUUCAACUUUAAUGAUCUCACUAAGGUGGUCUAUCAGCUUCAGCUCCCAAGUGUUGUUCUGGUUUAUUUUCUACAUUAUAAAAAAUGUACGUAUAUCAAUCCAAAAUGGACUAUAACCUGGUGACUAGUUCACACAACUAAGUGAAAGAAACAGUAUAGAAAACGAAAAGGAAACACUUCUGCUUUCAAAUUUGAGAACCUGAACUCAUUUGUCAUCUGGGAUUCUUAAAAUGUUUAAAUUUUUAGAAUCCAAUAUUUCAAUAUCUUUUUAAUUUCGUUUCAAAGCUUUCAAUUAGCAACAAAUUAACAAUUACGUGGAGUCUAAGUAACAAAUUAGCAGGGUAUUGACUCUUUUUUUAUUAAUAAAGGAAAAUUAAAAAAAUAUAAAAGUUUUGUUUAAGGAACAUGACACGUGGCGCACUGACAUUUUCACUAGCAAGCUUGAUGCAGUUUUGUAACAACUCAACGAUUUGCUCUUCGCUGAGGCAAGGGUCUUCAGGAAGUGGGGAGGACGAGGUGGAGGUGGCCUUGCGGCGGCGGAUGGCGGAGGCGCGUGCCGCACGCGCCUGCUCACGCUCGAGUUGGUCGUUGUUGGAGCCUAAGAAGAAUUGCCUUUGCCUUGUUGGAGAAUGGAGUCGGUUCGACAUCGUGCCCCUUUGUCUCGGGCUCAACGCCUCCGACAUUUUAAGGACAAAGAAAACUAGAAAUUUGAAAAUGGAGGGAGUUAAACAAGCGUAGCGUACGUCGAAAGAAAAGUGCGCUAAGGCGUGUUUGGGAGUUGAACAACAAGCGUAAGUUGUACUAAGGGCGUGUUUGGUUGUCUACUGUAAUAUCAGAACGCCAUAAAAUGAUACCUUUCAAAUGACACCUCGUAAAGUAAUAUACGUCUACGAGGCCAAUCAUGUGUGUAUUUAGCCAUACGCCUACACGUCAUUAACUAAUGCUCAAAAAUUGGUCAAAGAGUAAGGAUCUGAAGUCAAUUUUUUUAAUUUACUUAUUUAUUUUUUUGAAACUUAUGUUGGAAUAGUAACAAUUUAGGGAUAUAUUUGAAAUUAAUAAAGAACUAUAUAUUAUGUAGUUUUUAAAAUUACUAUGGGUUUUUAUAGGGAAAAUGACAAACACACCCCUAACGUUUAGGUAAAGGGAUAAAAACUUCCCUAAUGUUUUAAAAAAGAUAUUUAUACCCCAAUUUAUUAUAAUUUUACCAUUAUACCCUUCUAGCAUAUAAAAAAUAUAUUAGAUUAUCCAAUUUAUCUAUAUAUUGUUAAUAAAAUUAUAAAUAGACAAAUUUGAUAUUAUAAAAAAAUUAUAAAUAUACCCUCAUUGCUCAAGGCCUCUAUUUAAAUUUUUAUCAAUAACAAAUUUUCAAAAAAGGCAUCUAUACACCUAAAAAAAUUGUAAAUAAAACUAGUUAUUAAUAGCCAAUUUUAUUUAAACUUUAAAUUUGUAUAUUUAACAAAUCUCCACAUGUCAAUCAUUUACACUUGUACAUUUAUAAUCAAUUUUCUAUAUUAUUUAUUAUGGCACGGCACGGCACGCACGUGGGCCGUGCCGGGCUUAGAAUUUUAGGCCGUGCCGGACAAAUUAUUAGAAUAUAAAUUUCUAGAAUAAAAAUUUAAAUAGAGGAAUGAGGUAAUGAUGGUAUAUUUAUAAUUUUAUUAACAAUAUAUAGACAAAUUGGAUAAUCUAAUAAUUUUUUUUAUAUUCUAGAAGGGUAUAAUGGUAAAAUUAUAAUAAAUUGGGGUGUAAAUGUCUUUUUUGAAACAUUAGAGGUGUAUUUGUCAUUUCAUGUUUUUAUAUUCAUGUCAAUAUACGGAAACAUGUAGAGAUGUACAAAAAUAUAAAACUCUCAUUAUAAGUGGAAAUGUUCAUCAGAAUUCAUUAGAGUCGUGUUUGAUAUUAAGGUUGGAUAGUUGUAAUUUAAAGAUCACAAUUAAAGAUGGCCAAUGGGCAGGGCGGCACGUGGCACGGCACGGGCACGGCACGUGUCCGUAUGGCACGGCACGACACGAGCACGUUUCGGUGAGGCACGAGGCACGAGGCACGGCACGGCACGCACGUGGGCCGUGCCGGGCUUAGAAUUUUAGGCACGCGGGCCUUAAAGCACAGCACGAUAAGAGAUGGGCCAAAGCACGGCACGCGAAAAAGCACGUAAUAAGCACGGUUCAUUAGUGGGCUAGCACGCGGCCCGUGAGCCAUUAAUAGCACGUGGGCCAAAAUAUAUCUAAGUAAAUUUUUUUAACAAAAAGUAAAUAUAAAAUGUUAUGAAAUUAAAGUACAAUAUCUUGAAAUUAAAUGUUUUAAUAUAUUUUUUAGCAUAAACUUUUAAAAAUUAAUUUAAAUCAUUAAAUCUUAGUUUAAAUAAAUAUUCUAAUCUUUUAUGUUUAUAAUUUAUUAAAUGAAUAAGUAAAUAUCAUGAUUUUAAUAAAUAAAAUUAUAAAUAUCAUAAUUUUAUUUAUGAUAUUUAUUAAAUGAAUAAUGUUAUUUAAUUUUAUUUAUGAUAUUUAUUUAAUUAUUUAUUUACGUUUAUAAUUUAUUAAAUGAAUAAGUAAAUAACUAAAUAUCAUGAUUUUAAUAAAUAAGAUUAUAAAUAUCAUAAAUUUAUAUAUUAUAAAUAAAAAAUAAUUUUUUUUACAAAAUUAAUAAUAAAAUAUUUUUCAUAUUAAUAUUAAAUCAUAACUUAAUUAAUAUUUAAUAGAGAUAUGUUUCAUUUGUGAAUGAAAUAUUUUUCAUUUUAUACACAAGAAAAAUGUUAAUUGCUCUCUUAAUAAAAAUUAAUAUGAUUAUGAUUUUGAAUAUUAUUAUUAUUAUUAUUAUUAUUAUUAUUAUUAUUAUUAUUAUUAUUAUUAUUAUUAUGUUGGUGGGCUUAAAAAAGCACGUCAAGCACGUGGGAUUGAAUAAAGCACGUUAGGCACGUGGGUUUUUUUAAGCACGCAAAAAAAAAAGUUGGUGGGCUUUUUUUGGGCACGGCCCACGGCACAGCACGAGCACGGCACGAGAGGGCUCGUGCCGUGGGCCGUGCCGGGCUCAACUGAAAAAAAUGUGGGCACGGCACGGCACGGCCCAUUGGCCAUAGUUAAUCACAGUAUCGAAGUAUGGAUUAGAAGGUAAAUUAAUUUGUAUCUUUAUUAUUUUUGCCAAAAUUAUUAUUUGAAAAUCAUAUUUACUACACAUGAUUAAUUUUUAUUUUAUAGUUAUAAUUUUCUUUCAGAACUAAUAUAAUUUAAAAGAUACAAUACCUCAAUACUAAAUACGACCUAUAUCAUACUUUUUAUGGUUAUCUUUGAUUAAGCUUCAUUGACUGUUGAUCUCAUAUGUUUAACUAGGCCUUAAAACCAUUACCAAAAAGACUCUUGUAAUUGUUUUUCAAACAUUUAUUUGUUUACUUAUGUGACAAAUAGAAGUGUAAAAAAAUAAGUCCUAAAAACUCUUCAAAUAAAAAUAAGUUUAUAUUUUUUUAAUUAAAUUAUCAAAAUAAUAACAAUUAUAAUAUGUUUCUCCCUUCAGAAAUGAUAAGAUAAAAAAUAAUAAUAUAAUACUAAAUUAAAUAUUCUAACAAAUAUUAGAGAGAAAUAAACAUUAUUUCAUUUGAAACAUCUCAUUUGAAUUUUUUUUUUUACUAUUUGUCAUUCCCUUUGGUUAUUAGGAUUGAAGUAGUAAGUGAAGCAAAAUAACUCCACUGUGGUUACUGGUUAAUUAGGUCAACUGGGCUAGCAGUUGUAGCCUUAGGCAAUUACUCCUCGGUUUCUCACAACCACAUCCACUGCCAUGCCUUAAAAACAUAUGACAAUGAAGUAACCUAAUCUUAUCAGCCAGGGUUACUGGUUAACGGUGAUUUGGUUUUGUCCCAAUCAAGCUACCAAUGAAAUUGACGGCAACACAAGCCUAGCUAUAAUGAUAUUUGAGGAACUUCAAUUACAUGAUGAAAAAAUUUCUACUAGAGCGAGCUCUAUUUAGGUCUUUAUUUAUGAACUUAAUUAAUUAAGUGUUUAGUUUCAGACUUUUGGCAAUAACUUCAAUGUUGUGAUCAGUAGAGGGUACACACACACACACACACACACACACACACACACACACACACACACUCAUGCAUACAUAGAUCAAACAUAAAAUAUUAAAAGCUUUAUUUUUUGUUCAAUUAAUAAUGUUUGGAACAAAGACAAAUAAAACAUUUGAUGAUAAUAAUACGAAGAAGCAAAAGGUGAUAACAAAUAAUACAACUUAAACAAUAAUUAAUUUAUUUACUAAACAUUAGAACACUUAAUAUAUAGCUUAAUUAAUUAUAUAUUAAUUAUAUAAGGUCUUCAAGGCAAUCCACCUCCAAGCCCACCACUGGUUGCACCAGCACCAAAUCCAACUCCAUUAUUGCCACUGAACCCAAAACCAGCCCCAGCACCAGCUCCAACACCAGCUCUAUACUUGUUACUGAAUCCAGCACCAAUACCAAUCUUUUGUAGCCCAUGUCCAGCUCCACCACCACCACCAAGGCCACCUCUAGUGGGGUUAAGAUGGUGAAUGAAGCACUUGUGAUCAUCAAAAAUCAAAACAAACAUUUUCAUUCACAAGCUUCCAAGCAUCCGUGGAGCAUAAUAAGAGAACAUAAAAAGAGUACAAUAAGUGCAUUAUUAAAAGAUACCAUGUUCAAUUAUAAUGCAAUAGCUAGCUUUAAUAAUUAACUUGAAAGAUGACUUUGAUGACAAGUGGGAGCACAAGGCAGUAGUUAUGUGUGCAUUUUGUGUUGAGAAACCAACCCAGCAGUAGUUAAAUUUAACUAUAUACACGUCAUUUGACCAUUAAUUGAAUGCAUCACCUCCCAUUUAGCAAAGAUUUUCUCCUAGUCAUGCCAUGCAAAAGUAAAUUUUCACAUUCGUUUAUAUACACGAUUCCUUUUGGAUUUGGAAUUUUUCUUUAUCUUUUUAUUUAUUUAUUUUUACUUUCACGGAAUUAGCUAUAGCUUGCUUUAUUGAAACACCUUCUUACAGUAAUCUAAAAUUGAAUGGAUUUGGGUGCUUCUUUUAGCGUCAAAAUCCACAUGACCAAUGAUGAACAAAGUCAUGAUUAAAAUUUAUGUCUUUCAAUUAAUUUUGAGGAUAAAUUAAAGGUUUCGGCUACCUUGGAACGCCUCCAAGGUGGAUCCCAGCAAUAUGAGUCGUCCGAUUGCAGUCAUAUUAAUUAAUCGUCAAGAUGAAAUGCAUUUAUAACGCAUUGAAUGUACUGGAUUAUGAGUUACCGGUAGAGGGGGUGAUCAAAACCAAAUACUCUAGUGAUACAUCAAUUGAACAAAUAGCCAAUACAGAUGUAAAACAUGUAUAAUCAAUAACAUGUGAUACUUCGGGUGGGGUAAUCCCAUUUAAAAAGAAGAAGGAAAAAAAAAGCCCUAAAUUCCAUUAUGUCAUAGUUUACAACUCUCAGUGUUGGCAUAUUUAUUUUGAAAGUCGACGAUGAGCGUUUAUGGACUUGUGUUAGGUUAGACUGUCGAUAAAGAGAGCUGCCGACGGAUUUUAAGAACAAGAGACCAUGGAUAGUUUCAAAAGAAUGCAUACAUUUGUGAUAACGAAAUGGUGCAGAGUUUGAAUAAUAAUUUAUGUCGUUGAUUUAUAGUUAACAACCUUAAGUUCUAUUCAUCGUGUACUGUAGGUAUGAUUUGGUUAAUAUGCGGGUGUCUUUUAUUAUUGUUGAUUUCAUAUUUAUGGUUAUUGUUGUUGUUCUGGUGCGCCGAAUGUUAAUAAUUAAUAUUUGUCAAACGGGUGUCAUGAAUGAUGUUGCUAUAAAUGUUCUUGUGGAUUUGAAGAUUGAUUGAAUAAUUAAAAACACCAACUUGUGACCACGAGGGGGUGUGAUGUUAUGAGUGUGGGCAUUGAUUAAUUUUGAAAUGACAAUAUGAAAUCAUAGGCGAAUUAUUAAUGAGUAAGUGGUUAAAGUCGAACUAUGAGUACUCAAUGUAAAAGUCCAAGAUGAUUCGAAAGUGGUAUAUGGAUAAACUGACAUAAGAAAAUGUUUGUGUGUGUGUGUGUGUUUCUGAACACCUUAUAACCAUGACUACGAAACAAAUAAUUAGAAUCCUAAAUGACAAUUGAAGAAUGAGAAGAGUCGCAGCUGGAAACAUUUCGUAGUUUAUUGCACUGUAUACAUAGUUGUAUUAGAUUCAGAUAGUGAAAAAAUUGGAGGGAAAAAGUGAGAACCUAUUAUUUAAAAUGUAAUUUUUUUCGUUUGUUUUUUUUAAAAAGGCUUAAUUUCAGCAUUUUGGUUUCACAAGUACUUAGGCAAACUAUCGGCGUGUUAACACUUGGCAAGGUAGACUAGACCUUUAUUAAUUAACGGAGCAAAGGUGAUGUUUAACGCAUGCAGCAGUUAUCCUGCAAUGGAAGAGGACAGCUCGAGAGAUAUGAUAAGUGGUUUGCCAGAUUCUGUUAUGUGCCACAUGCUUAGUUUUCUCCCCAUAAAAUAUGUCGUGGCCACAUCCAUUUUAUCUCGAAAAUAUAAGCAUAUUUGGAGAGGUAUUUAUAUUAUAUGCUUCGAUGAUGGGCUAGGUGGUAUGGACAAUGAUGUUUCAAGCGUUAGAGUAAGUGCUUCUGAGGACUUCGUUCACUAAGUGGUUGUUCGACCUUAGCCGACAAACAUUGUCAAGUUCUUUCUCCGGCGUGCGAAAUUACCUGAUUUGUUUAGAUUUUCAUUUUGGGUGUCCUCUGAAGUAAGUCGUAACGUUCAGGAGAUGAAACUUAAUCUUAAGAACCAAGAACAUUUUGUAUUACCCGCUAGUUUGUACAGUUUAUGGAUACUCAAAAUUCUUUAAGUUCAUUCAGAUUGUGCCCUCUCAGUUCUUCCACGUGGUCUAUGCUUUCCCAGUGUGAAGAUUCUUUAGUUAUUGCUGCGGCAACCUUCGAACGAGCUGAUUGAGAAUUUGUUUUCCCGAUACCUUUAUUUUGAACAGUUGUCCUUAAUUGUUUAUCUCAGAUCAGAAGAUCCAUCCUCAAAUCUCAUCAUUUUGUCGACAACUCUGAAUAUGUUAGUGUUGGUGAUAACUAAAUGCGGUCAUGCAGCUGGGCCUAAUGAGCACAAUGUCACAAUCAAGGCUCUAAGCCUGGAAUUCAUUGAUACCAUUGAUGAGAUACUUGUGUUGUAUGCCGUCGAUGAACUUCAAUCUAUAAAGAAAUCAGUCAUAAAAAGUGUCACAUCUGCUAUGGUCAACUAUUGAUCCGACACAUACUGUAGAGUUGGUCACGGGCGUAAGUCACACCAGAUUUCUACAACUAUCUGCUAGCGUGAUUGAAAUAAGUUGUGUCAACUAUACUGUCUGGUUUAGAUUACCAUCAUGUUGUCAUCUUCCAUGCAUGCAAUCUAGCAUGGACACUAUUGUUGUCCCUAGCCAUGACCAUGGUUUCCAAUAGUUGAUGUUACUGCAUUAAUGCACAUUUCUUUUUAGCUUUAUUACUAUUUAUUAAACUUAACUUGUUUGCCUUUUUUUUCCUUUUUUUCCCACUCUUGCGCAGGCUCUAGCGCUUGCCAAUGUUGAUUUAGUUUCUUCAUUUUCGACCCUGACUUUUUUGCAUGUGACGAUUGGUGAAUGGGGAUAGAUCAUGCUUUAUAUUAUGCUGAGUAGAUCGGUAAACAUUAAGACUUUUGUGUUACAAAUGGUGAUGAUUAAUAAUUAUGUGCGUGCAAUUGCUUAUUGCUUAUAGUUAUUUAUGAGUCAAUUUAUAUUAUUAACGUAGGCAUGUUGAUGCGGGUUGUUCGACGAGGAAAUCUGAUGGAUAGAAUCAGCCACUGUUCCUCACUGCCUAACUGACCAUGUGAACACAUUGGUUAUCAAGGAACUCGGCGAUGGGAACAAUUACAUCUGCCUAGUGGAAUACUUGUUGAAUAAUUGUAAAGUCUUACAAAUGAUGACCAUACGCUGCAGAGCCAGUGUUCACGGGGAAAGGUUAUGAAUUCUCAAUCGAAAGCUAUUGGCGUUGCACAGAGGGUGUGCUAGUGCUAAGAUAAAACUUGAUAAAUGAGCUGAGGGAUUUAAGUCUCAUCGUUGUUUUAGUAAAUAAUAUAAGACUUUGAUGGAAAACAUUUUGACUGUUAGCAACUUAACAUAUCAUUUAUAGUUGGUGUGUGGAACAUUCAUUAGUAGCACAUGAAUUUAGUAAACAAUUCCUCUCAUUGGCUGAAGAUAUUAAACAAGAUAUGAAUAUUUGCAGUUCUAUUUGUUAAUGUUCACGGGGGAUGCAUUCAUAGUCUUUUAUAAGAUUCAUAUACCUAACGUCAACGACCACGACUUUAUUGAUUGAGCAACAAAAAAAUUUCACCAUAAAAAAGUCAAUUGACCAUAAAAAUAUCAUUAGUGAAUAUGAAGGUAAAAGAGCAAGAACCAAUUAAAAUAUAAGACCAUCAAGAUUUUGUUCAUGAGAUUUAUCGUUGCAAUUUAUAAUAACAUUGUAAGAAUUUGUAUGAAAACGUGGAAAAUUUGAGCUAUAUUUAAUAUUUUUGGGUUUUUUAAUAGUAAUGAUGAUGUUAUAUUUCAUUGCUUGAUGUUCCCAUAUAAAUUUUUCUAGAAUGAUAAGUUAAAUUUAUCAACAAUUAGAUGCUACCAUGUCAAUCAGUAACCAUAAGAAAAAUGAAGUUUUACAUAUAAUAGAGGAGAUUAACCGAGUUACAAAAGCAAAUAAGUUAGGCAAAACAACGCCAAUGAAACAUGCGACAUUAACAUAAUGACAAUAUCCAAUGACUCAGAAAUGCAGCAUAUCUUAUUACCAACUCAACACUCGUACAUGAGAAUAGCAAACACACUUAGUGUGUAGGACUCAUAAUCCAAAUGUGAAAUCUAAGAGAUUAUAUGUCAAACUUGAGUACUUUGCGGCAUAGUAUUUUCAAUCCAUCGUCUCGAACACUUUCAUGGCACCGGAAGUUGAAAUUGUCCAACACUUAACUAUGCCACAUGAAGUACUCCACCAGUUAUAGGUCACUUUUUCCAUUAGUAAAUGCCUCCAUCUUUAUUUUAGUAACGUGUUGAGUCAAGCAAGGGAGCAUAUUCUCUGUCUUCAGCCAGCCAAGUUCAUGGUCACUGAACUCGAACCAAUCUUCCUGAUUAGUGAAAUAGUAAAAUAUAUCACUAACAACUCUAAUCCAUUAUUAGAUGACAAAAAAUAAUUGUUGUAUUCCUCACCUUUGUUAAUAUAAAGGUAUGUAAGUGGGACAAAAUAAUGAGGAUGGUAUGGAGACAUUUCCAGCCGCAUCAUCCAACCGCAGCAAAAAAAAAAAAUGAGAUUGUCAAACAGAACCAGCGAACGGUUUGCGCAUGCCCGCUCAAGUGCUUGCGGUUGAAAUAAUUAUUACAUAAACAACAACAAUUACAUUCGUGUUGAUAUUCACCACAUGUUGUAAGAACUAACUAUGAUUAGUUGAGUAAGAAAUUUUUAAAAACACAUUGUGUUUAUUAAUUUUACAACAUUGUCCUUCAUGGCUAACAAUAUAUAAAGUUCAGUAGAAAUAAUAAAAGUGUUGCAUAUCAACAAUAAAAUCUCUUGUGGAUAAUAUUUAGCAUUCUGGUAUACUAUGAGAAAGCUUACCAGAACAACACCAGAGAAGAGGAUCAUAUGAGGUGUUUUUGCAACACCCUCGAUAAGGUUGCUAACAUGUUGUAAAUCAACUGUAGAUGAUUCCAGAUAUGAAACAUCUAAAUGUGCUUGUUGUAUGAUUGCAUCACAUGUACCUUAUAUUCCAUCAACAUAUGAUCAACAAUACGGAGAUGUUGGAGAUUUAACGCCCUAAUGACAACACGAUGGUGUAAUGACUUACCGCACAACUGGGCGAAGAAGGCAACAAACGUGAGUGUAUUCAGAGUAGCAGAUCGAAUGAUGAAGUUGGCUAGAGGAUCGUGAGGUAGUAUAAAAACCAUUAUAUUGAGUUCCAUCAAGGAAAGAACUCUGAAAAACAGCUUUUCUUUCACUCGAUUUUCAGGGUAUUGCAUAAAUAUAUAAAGAAUCUUCAGAUGGUGAAAACACACGCCAUCUGAAUGAUCUAAUAAGGCAAAAUUAGAGCAUAGUCGAAGAACUUCAAGUGUCGUUAAACUGCACACACUGGCUGGCAAGUGCAUGCGUCCGUACUCCAGAAGAUCAAUAUCUAUCUCCCGACCAUUACGCAUUAUUGUUUUAGAUACCCAUAAAUCAAACUGAGCCAUAUGUAUAGGGCUCACACACCGAAGAGAAAAUAUUUGUAUCAAUAUUGGGCCAGUUUUAGCAAUCACUGAAUCUACGAACACUUGGAAUGCAGCUAGCCUGACUCCUAGGACGGCAAUAGUCCCUAUGGCAACCUCAUCGUCGAAGCAGAGUGUUGAGUGUUAGAAAAUGUAUAUUUAUAAAGGAGAAAACCGUUAUUUUACAUUUCAAGUCUUAUUAACAACCCUUACUUUUAUGUAUUUAACCUUCUUGUGAUUUAAUUACAUGUGUUUUAUUUUAAUUAAGUAUUUUAUGUAUUUUAGGGGCAUUAUAGUCAUUUCACAAUAAAGGAGAAAUCAGACGGCAAAACGGACAUCACUUUUGAACUUAGGACGGUUGAAAACCUUAGGAGGAGCAUAAAAGGAAAAAUGACACUAUUUAUAUGUACGGUACUACUCACGUGUACGGUACUAUUCACGUGUACGGUACUAUUUACGUUACUGUUCACAACACUGUUCACAUAGACAGAUCGAUGACGUGGCAUUGACCGAUGAUGUGGCAUUGACUGAUGAGGUGUCACGAUCCUGUUGGGCUAAAAUUCUUAUGUACUGUUGAUGGUGACGUGACAGCAUAUCAGUGGAUGAAAAAUCUCGCGUAUGGUACAUGCAUCACACAGGAUUAUUUUCAACCAAACCGCGUUACUGUUCAUCCGAGUCAAACCGUGUUACUGUUCAUCCGCGUGGUUAAACCGCGUACUGUUGACUGAUGACGUGGCGCAAUCCUGAGCGUCCAAAUUAUUUUUAAUCCGAUGGCCAUGAUUUACUCCAUGUAUCUAUAAAAAUAGGGCCUACGCCCCCCUAAUUGGAUAUCUCUGAAUCCAUUUUUGGACUCUGUUUUCUAUAAUUCCCUCUCCAUCUUGUAUUUUCUUCGUAUUUUAAUAAAUUUCCAUUUUACCCCUAGUUCAAUUAUGAUUGGCUAAUUUUCUUUCAAGCUUGGGUUGAAGGUGAAGUUUCAACAUGUGUCAUGGGCUUAAUUUGGUAAAUUUAUCUUCUCUUCCCCUCUAGUUUUUGUGGAUGUUUUGACUUCUCAUCGACAAAUAAUACUAAUCUUGUCUAGUACCGCCUUGGUUUCACCGGCCCUCUAGUACAAGGUUAUUAUUAUUUGGCACGAUAAGCCCUUAGCACCAUAUUGAUUAGAGCGUGGUUCAUGAGGUGUGGAUUUCCCCCUCAUGAUUUAAUUGGCAUUAAUACGGAUUAUUUAGCUCAUGAUGCAUGUUGAUACGUAUCCAGAUACCCAAGUAUGUCAUCUCAAUAGAAUUCUCUUCAAUUUAUUCUUGUCAUUUCAAUUCCAAUUUUAGAAUUUAUUCUCGCCAUUUUAAUUUAAGUUUUAGCAUAUUCCAAAUCAUUUCCACCAUAAAUCCAACAACCCAUUUACAAAAUUAAUUCUAUACACAAUUAAAAUCCACCUUCUCGUGGGAUCGACACUCGUCACCAUUAGUCUAUACUACAAUAGAUUCGUGCGCUUGCGAGUGCAUUAAAAUUUGCACAACACAAAGGUUACGAACUAAGAUCCAAACAGGCUCCAUCUUCGCGAAAGACUGAAGGUGGCCACAACAUCUUCUAUGGGCAGAAAAGUAAAGAUGUUAGAGAAGACAAAAUUAAGCAAAGCAUUGAUCCUGUCUUCGCCUUCAUUGUUGACCACUCUUGCACGUCUAUUUCCUUUGCGCCGAACUGCACCUGUUGAUGUCCUCAUCAUCAACUACUCACCCUGCCAAGUGCGACCAGGGACAUAUUGGAAAUUCAUAAUUUCCAACCUGAAAAUUCAAACCAUUGACAUACACAUAUAGAAGAGAAUUGUAAAUUGUUGUUAAAUUAACUUUCACAGAAAUGAUCAUAGUAUACAUUACUAAAGUUAAUGACAACACAGUAAUCGUUCCUAAUGUGUUAACAAAUAGGUUAUGCAUGAGAAACAUACAUGGAUAUCUACUUGAAUAUCGUACAAUUACAUUAUAUCGAAAAUAUUUCAGGUACAUUAAAUCAGGUGAACAAAAUUCUAGUGCCCUUCUAUGGUCGACUCCUAGGUGAACAAAAUUUUAGUGCCCCUCUAUGUUCGACUCCUUCAAUUGACAUAGUAAAACUUAUAAAACUGUAGGCAUGGCAAUUACCAGAGACAUAUCAAGUGCGAACCUCAUAGGAUAUGAUUGCACGUGACAACUGUAUUCAGACCACAUUAAAUAUUAUCCCCACCACCACCCGUGAAGAAGACAACGUGGACAUUGAAUAAAAUUGUUCCCAUUUUUUUUUCUCUAACCAUAUUGGACAGCAAAUCAAGGAUUUGGACCUCAUGUGACGUCAUCAACAUAUUUACCAACACUAAUAGCAUGGAUAACAUUAAAGUGAAUCGAUGUGAUUCAACAUAUUAGGGUUUGCAACAGCUGAGGUGGAAUUAUAAAUUAUCAAGGGCAAAUUUAAAUUACAGUAAUAAUUAAUAAGCAAAAUCUGAUCAUCUUAUAAAAUUUAAAAAUAUUUUUUUAAAAAAUUCCGUUGUUCCCAAUUUCCAAUUGUUAUCUACUUCAACGGGAUUAUGGACCACUUUCAUAUCCCUCUAGAAAAAUACAUGCAUCACUGACCUAGUUUCAGUUGACUAUGUUUCCAUUUAUGUUUUAAAGUUAUCGAUUGUGAGUACUUAUAUACAAUAUAUAUGCAGAGACUAAAUGGGUUGCAACAAUGACUGCAAUUAAAAUAAUAAUAAUAAUAAUGUCUAAAUAAAAUAAUAAAAUAAUAAAAUUUUAAUAAAAUAAUAAUGACAUUAUUAUUAUCUUAUAUUUAUUAUUAAUUAUUAUUUUUAUUAAUAUUAUCAAUAUUAAAUUUUUUUAUUAUUAAAAUUUAUUAAUUUUACUGUUUUAAUGAAUAUAUUGUCAUUAUUAUUAAGGACUUUUUAGUAAUUUGUAACAAUCUAAUUUAUUCUGAUUCCGAUUCCAAGACAAAGUAAACACAUUAAUGGCAAUCCAACUUAUUCUGAUUCUGAUUCCUACAGUUCAAGUAAACAACUUAUUCUGAUUAUCAUUCUCCAUUCCAAUUCUAGCAUAUUCCUAUUACAGCUGAUUCUGAUUCCAGUUUAGUAAACGCAUCAUUAAAUUAUUGGCUUUUGGUAUCCUUUAGGGUUUCAAAAUAUUUCACAAUUAAAUACUUAAAGCCACUAAUGUUCAGUUAUACACAAUUUGGUUUUUAAGGUUCUAAUAUUUAUAUUAAUAUUUAGAUUUAGCUGUCAAUUAAUAAUUUUAGCUUUUAGAAUUAAUAAAAAUAAAUAAAUAUGGAUAUUUAGGUUUAUAAGCAGAUAUAAGUUUUGUUGUUUAAUAUUCGUACCUUAUCUAUUUAAUUUACAAGUAUAAAUAAUUAUACCCGCAUCCAAUCUUUUUUAUAAAAUAAAUAAAAUAAAAUUCGAUACUCAACCCCGAGAGAACUGCCCUUGCCAGCCCUGUAUCCACCGGAAUUUUUUGCCUUCCCUAGGAAUUAAGUACCGGCUUUGGCUAAAUAGCCAUACACCUUUCCUAAUUAUCAUGUUAUGUCUUCCCAUUUUUGGAUCUUUAAAACUUGUGUAGUAAUAUCAUGUGCACGAAAGUUCCUCAAUCAUUGUCAAUUUGGCUUCUAUUGCAUGUGAUUGAUUCCUUCAUGUCAUGUGUAAAUUCUAAUAAAGGGCCAAAUGUCACUUUGGUGAUAAGAUUGUGUAACUUUUCUAUUAAAUGAGUCGGUGCAAUUUACCAGCUACAUCCAUCCUCCCAUAAAAUUUUUCCUCCCCCGCCUCAAUUUUAUUUUUUCGAGAAUGGUCCACGAAUAAUUGAGUGAAUGUUACCAAUUCGGUUUUUCAACUUGAUUUAUAACUAAGUGUAUAAUGGCACUAUUAUGUAGUGGGAUUAUUGAAAGGGAGAGUUUAAUAAUCUCAAUGUCUUAGUUUAGAAAAUACAUCCUUUCCAAAUAUUUUCAUGAAUUGUCUAGAAGUUUCAACUUUGUACUAUACUCAAAGUAAAAUGCCGUUAACGCCAUAAAAUUAAGUGGGCAAAUAUAAGUUAAGAGAAAAUUAAAAGAUGAAACAUCAAUAAUAAGUUCAAAACAAUGCGUAACAAUGAAAGAAUAUAAUAUGUGGCCAAGAAAUUGGGAUUCGAAACUCACUAGCGUAGAUCAAAAGAAAAUUUAGUUAUUAUUAUAUUAGUUAUAACAAAAUAUAUACUCAAACAUUACAUAUUUAGUUUAGAUAUUUCUACAGUGUGCAUGCUUGUAUGUAUUUCUGCUUUGUUCAGGAAACUUACCGUUAGGGGAUUGAAUUGGUGGUUCUUCGAUUACUUUCUUUAACUUCCCACACUUAUGUCAAAAUCUUAAAGAAGGUAGAUAUAGUGAGAAUUUAUUUUCAUUUUAACAAAUUGAAAAUGCCAUUAAUAGACAAAAAAACAUAACUUUCAAUAUACUAAAAUUUAUAUAUAUAUUUUUUAGUUUUAAUAUGCAUCCUUAUUUUGUUAAAGUGAUAAUGAUCUUAUUAGAAAAUGACUAUAUAUUUAGGAAUAUUAUCAUUUGUCCACCUAAAUUUAUAUAUAUAUAUAUAUAUAUAUAUAUAUAUAUAUAUAUAUAUAUAUAUAUAUAUAUAUAUAUAUAUAUAUAUAUAUUCAAGUUAGUAUUAACGUUUAGUGAAAAAUGCAUUUUUCUGACAUAUCAAUUUAGCAAUGAGAUAUUAUGAAACCCACAUUUUACCACUUUUUUUUUUUUUUGAAGUCUGUUAUACACAGAUAUUACUGACAUUACAUCAGACAUUACAAUUAAUAUUUACAAUCAUACUAUAUAACUGGGACCACCAUCAUACAUUGACACACUGAAGUAUAUGCCCAGAUAUUUUAAACCCUCUCUAAUAUUCGAGGGGUGCCUGCUCCACUCACAUUUCGUAAGGGAGAGACUGUCUCCACUCAAUUAAUUAAUAAUUGAGGAAGAACUGAAACUAACCUCCAUAAUGCUCUUAUGGAGGCUCGAACCCUUACACUCAACAUUAUAAGUGCAAGGCUUCUCCCAUUGGACCAAAGGCCCAUUGGUCACAUUUUACCACUUAAUAUUUAAACUUUUAUCAUUUUACUACCUAAUGUUUUAAGUUGUUAUUACUUUAUCACUUCCAGUGCACAAACAAUUUGUUGGAAAAAGUUUAAAUAUUCACUUAAAAAAAUUGUAAAUUCUCGGGUGCACAAGUGGAAAAAAGAAAUUCUUUCUAAUAUUCACAAAUAGAUUUGCUUUGUUAAUAAUUGUUAUGAGCCCAUCAAUUGAUCUAUUAUUCAAAAACAAUUAAUGUAAAAUCAAGUUGCCCAAAAAGCAAACAUAUAUUAAAAAAUAAAAAAAAUGAAAAAUAUAAGUUCACUUUUGAACGGUCCCAUAAUAUCAUACUAAAGAUGGCCAAUGGGGUCUGUGACACGUGUCUGUAUAUUACGGUACGAUAUGAGCACGUUUUGGUAGGGCACGCGGCAUGGCACGUGAGUCGUAUCGGACUUAGAAUUUUAGGCGCAAGGGUCUUAAAAGUAUGGUACGAUUAGAGAUGAGUUAAAGCACGGCACGCGAAAUGGCACGUAAUAAGCACGCUUUAUUGGUGGGCUAACACGCGGCCCGUGGUCCAUUAAUAGCACGUGGGCCAAAGUAUAUCAAAGUAAAAAAAAAUUAAUGAAAAGUCUACAUAAAAUGUUAUGAUUUUACAAAUAUCUUAAAAUUAAAAUUUUUAAUAUAUUUUUUUAACAUAGGCUUUUAAAAAUUAAUUUAAGUCCUAGUUUAAAUAAAUAUUAUAAUUUUUUAUGUUUACAAUUUAUUAAAUGAAUAAAUAAAUAUCAUGAUUUCAAUAAAUAAAAUUAUAAAUAUCAUGAUUUUAUAAAUGAUAAAUAAAAAUUUUUACGACAUUAAUAUUUUAUUUAUAAAAUCAUAACUUAAUUAAUAGUUAAUGGAGAUAUGUUUCAUUUGUGAAUGAAAUGCUUUUCAUAUUUAUGCACAAAAAAAUAAAAUUAGGAACGAAAUAUUUUUAUGAUAAAUUAAAAAUUACAUUUUCAUUCAACGGAGUUCAAGUGCAAUUAUAAUAUUAAUAAUUCAAAUAAAAUUAUGUGUAAUUGUUAUUUUAAGAUUGUAAUUUUAUUUUUCAUGAAUCAUUACUAUGAUUUAUGGAAUUAUUGUUGUUAUUAUUAUUAUUAGGUUGAUAGACUUAAAAAGGUACGCCAAACUUAUGAAUUUUUUUAGAUACACUGGAUAUAUGGAUUUAAAAGAAAAAAAAAAUUGAUAGGUCUUUUUUAGGCACGACACGAGCGGGCUCAUGUUGUGGAUCGUGUCGGGCCCUUAUAAAAAAAACUAAGUGGUAGGCCAUGUUGUGCUGCCCCACAGACCCUAUUGAGCCGACACUUGACGGCACGGCACUAUCUUGGCCAUCACUAUAUCAAACUAACAACGGCAUCAAAUAAAUAUCAAAAUUAAUUUAAAAAAAAAAAGGAAAAAAGAUCAAAACAAAUAUUAACCACUUGAAUAGAAUCUGAACCACACAUUAUAAAAAGGGCCAGUGAGAUUGAGAUUUAAGCAAAUAAUUCUCAAAAGAUUAACAGAGAAUGAUCCAGCCUUAGAUCCUGAAUCUACAUUUUCUCUUCCAAUUUUGUAUGCUUCCCUGCAGUUUUCAAUUUUCCACCUAAUUAGAAAAAAAAAACACUUUCAGAAAAAAAAAAAAAAAAAGACGAAGAAGAAGAAUCACUUUCGUUCAAUUAUUUUAAAAUUUUUUAUUUAACAACCCACGUGUUCAUUUGCAGAAUUAAAAAGUUGAAGGAAAAAAAAGUCAGGAAAAUGAAAGAAAAAGAAAUGAUUGAUGCAGGUGGUCCCCAUGAGGGUAACAGUGUAGUUCACAAAUCACGGGAAAGAAAGUGUUCCGUUUUUCACAUGGGGACGUGGCCCAACAACUCAUCAGUGAUAUUUAUGGCUGUUUCUUCCUUAAGAAAUUUCCCGUGCUUUGGAUUGACGUGUCCAAAUUUGGGGCUUUGUGCCCACAUGAAAAUACAAGGAAAAUUCAGCCAUGCGAGGGUACGACCUAUGAAACGAACUAACGAAUUGAGUUUUUUUCUUUUUGUUUUUUUUGCCCCUCCCACUCUCAAUAGUCAAUACCAAACGAAUUGAGUUCUAAAUACAGAGACUGUGGAGUGUGGAAAAGGGAGAAAAAAAAAAAAAAGCAUAUUCUCAUAAAUAAAGCAAAUAUUUUACAAAAUGAAAGCACUUAUUGCGUCGGAACUUACAUGUUACACAUAACAUGUUUUAAUUUACUUAAUUAAUAUGUUUCUUGCUAAUAUUACACAACAAAUUUACUGAAAUUACACUUAAUAAUCUAAAUUAUAGAUUUUUUAGUAUCAGACAACAAAUUUACUAAUAAUACAAUCGAAAAUUUAGACAUAAAUAAAAAUCAAUACAAAGACCCAAAAAUCGGCCCCAAUCAAGGAGGAAUGUAAAUAUAUUGGCGAACAGCAUAAAAAUUUAUUCAUUUUUCACUUCCUUUUUUUUUAUAAAACACUAAACAUGAAGAUCCAAACGGAAUUUUUGUCUUUCCAGUUUCCAAAAAGCGCGUGGAGAGACCGUAGGCCUUAAACCUUUCCCAACUAAUGGGGAUUAGAGAAUCGUUAAGAAGGAUUCAGUGGUAUGAGGAGUCUCUAACCCAUGCGCACGCGCCAAGAAGUCACUCUCCCCCACGCCCCACUCUCCCAAUAAUUGUCCUUCUACACCAACAACAAAAACCUCACGGCACGUCCUGAGCCACAUCGUCCCUCCUUGGCCUCUCCUUCACUCGCCCCUUAUCCCUCCUGCUAUAUAAUAAACCAAACCCCAGGCUUCUGAUUCAUCUUCAAUUUGCCCACGAAGAAUUAGUUCUCGCUGCCCUUCAACUUCCAUUGAAAGAUUUUAAGUUCUGAAACUGGGUUUGGUUGGUUUGUUCGUUUGUUUGACGUUUUUAGUUGUUGCUUAGGUGGGGGGGUAAAACCCGGGCAAGCAAGUUGUAGACAUCACGGCUAUACACAGAGUAACGCGGCUUCAAACUCAUGUCCGAACUGUACGACGCAAGGGUUGUGUGAUUGAGAGCAACCCUUCGCCGCACGGCGGGCGUGGCGCUCUGCCUUCCGAAGGCGGCAGCCCUUCUGAUCUCCUCUUUCUUGCCGGCGGCGGUCUCGCUUUUUCUUCUUUUUCUUUGUAUUAUUAGCCUAGCUCCGUAGAUUAUACAUACGUAAGUUUAAACAAGUAUUUUAGAAUUAAGCUAUUGCAAGCAUUAAUUAGAUCUCAAGAGAAAAAAAAAGAAAAAGAAAAAAGAAAAAGCCUUCGUUGUUCUUGUUCUUUGUUUCUUUUGUUUUUUUUUUUGGGAAAUUUCAUGAUGUUGAGGAUCAAGAGGGUGCCGACGGUUGUUUCGAAUUAUCAGAAAGAGGAGACGGAGGAGGCUGCUGCUGCUGCUCGUCGUGUAAGCGGGUGCGGGAGGAAUUGCUUGAACAAAUGUUGCAUUCAAGGUGCUUGUUUAAAAUGCUUAUACGAAAUUUUGUUUAUUGUUUUUGGUUUUUUUUUUCAAAAUUUUUGACUUGUUUCGGGAGUAAUUUUAUCUGGGUUUUUGUUUAAAAUAGGUGCAAAGCUUCCUUUAUAUGCUUUCAAGAGGGUGAACAAGUUUAAAACUGAAAUGGGUGUGCAUGGACACGAGGUUAGAGAGCCCGAGCCUCCCGUUGCAUUUCUGGACUCGCUCGUUCUUGGGGAGGUAAAUUUUGUUAAGCAAAUGAUAAAAUGAAGAUUGAAUGUUGAGUUUAUGUUGUGUGUCCUUGAUAGCAUUUGUUUACCUGUAACCAAGUAUAAAUUAGUUUCCAAUCUCAUUGUAGUGGGAGGACCGCGUACAGAGAGGACUAUUUCGCUAUGAUGUUACUGCCUGUGAAACCAGGGUAUCUUUUUGGUUCCUCUAAAAAUUGAAUGUUUAUUUGAUUUUGCAUGUUGGUUUUCAUUGAGAUUUCUUUACUAUACAAAUGUUCGUUUAGGUCAUUCCUGGUCAGUAUGGUUUCAUUGCUCAACUGAACGAGGGCCGCCACCUGAAGAAAAGGCCUACUGAGUUCCGUGUUGAUAAGGUCCUCCAGCCUUUUGAUGGGAACAAGUUCAACUUUACCAAAGUGGGGCAAGAAGAGGUGCUCUUCCAGUUUGAGGCAAGCGAAGAUGGUGAAGUCCAGUUUCACCCAAGUGCCCCCAUUGAUGUUGAGAAUUCUCCAAGUGUUGUUGCCAUCAAUGUAUGUUCUUUGUUCUUAGUUUUUAUAGCUAAGAGAGUAUGUUAAUGUUGAGCAAGAAUUUAAUUAAAUUUUUUUUUUGGGCACAAAAUAAAGCGAGCCUAGGAAGCUAGUUGAGCAAGGAUGUAUGCUAAUAAUUUAUCUUUCCUGGUGUGUAUAAUUUAACAGGUGAGUCCUAUUGAGUACGGGCAUGUGCUGUUGAUCCCACGAGUUCUUGAGUGCUUGCCACAGAGGAUUGACCGUGAUAGCUUCUUGCUCGCACUUUACAUGGCUGCAGAAGCUGGGAAUCCAUACUUCAGGUUGGGUUACAACAGCUUGGGUGCAUUUGCUACCAUCAACCACCUUCACUUCCAGGUUUAUAUCUACUUAAAUUACUCAGCUAAUUUUCUCAAAUGCGGAUUUUGCUUAUGAAUAGCUAUCCGCAGUUACUUAACAGUGGGUAACUAAAAUGCAACUUACUGAUUUCAAUUGCCACAGGCUUACUACAUGGCCUUGCCUUUUCCAAUUGAGAAGGCUCCUACCAAGAAGAUAAUCUCUACUGGCAGUGGUGUGAAGAUCUCUGAGCUUUUAAACUAUCCGGUCAGAGGCCUCGUCUUUGAAGGUGGAAACUCUCUGGAAGACUUAUCCAACACAGUCUCGGAUGCGUGCAUUUGCCUUCAAGAGAACAACAUUCCUUACAAUGUUCUCAUUGCUGAUUGUGGAAAGCGCAUAUUUCUCUUACCACAGGUAGUAAAUUUAGAAUCACUGCCGAAGUUAUUUUGUUUUUGCCAUGUUGUGCAUGGAAAUAUUUUUCCAGUUUCACUUUGAUUUACAAUUUGUUCAAAACGAACCAACAGUGCUAUGCUGAGAAACAAGCUCUUGGGGAAGUGAGUUCAGAGCUUCUGGACACCCAAGUGAACCCUGCUGUGUGGGAGAUUAGUGGGCAUAUGGUGUUAAAGAGGAAGAAGGACUAUGAAGAGGCAUCCGAGGAAAAUGCUUGGAGGCUGCUUGCCGAAGUCUCUCUCUCUGAGGAGAGGUACCAAGAAGUAAAUGCUCUCAUCUUUGAAGCCAUUGCGCGUGGUGAUGAUGCCAAUGGAGGUGUUGCUGAGAGCGUAAUUGGAGAGGCAGAUGCGAAACCAAAGUCUGGCGGUGAAGUGGAUGCAAUUAAUAAAAACUCUUGCCCUGCCAUGGUGUCGGGGACUCCAGAAUGCCUGGUUCUUCAGUAAGAUCCCUGGCUUGGUGACCAGACCGUUUGUGUUUGUCUGGUUCAUGUAUGAUAGCUUAAAUAAGUGACUGUGUUAUGGAGUGUGGCAGUAGCCUAAAUAAGCAAACUUCGUUUGCGCUGCUUUGCGUUUAGUCUAAUUUGCCGCCUAUGGGCGCUGUGAUGUAUGUAAGAUAUUCUGUUUGCUGAUGAGCCUCUCUGUUGAUGCUCAUGGAAUUUAUUUCUGUAUAAUUAUAUGCUGCAGUAGCGGCAGCAGGUAUUGUGGCUUGAUGAUCCGCUAUUGCUUCUACAAACUUGCAUCAGCAAUGACGUACUGACGGAAUGCAAACAGAGAAUCUAUCUUUCUUAUUCUACAUGUCCCUUUAGAUAAUGGAAAACUUUUUGACCUGCCACGUCAAAAAUUCCCAGAGCUACCAAAUGGGACGAAGAAAAAGAAAAAUGAAUAAUAAAAAAUUUAAUUAAAAAAUUAGAAAAGAAAAGUGCUUCUGAUGCUUCAACGGUGAUCAAUAAUAAUUAUAAAAUAAUCUAGCGAAUUGAGACGCCUCAUGCACCAAACAUUGCGUCCACACCCAAAUAGUUAAUUGCCGUUCCAUAAAUAUAUAGCGUUUAUUUGAAAUUCUCAAAAAAAAAAAAAAAAUUGAAAGUGUCAACUUCCAAGUCAAGACUUCUUUUAUUUAUAAUUUUGAUAUCAUUAUUUAUUUGUUUCAAAAUAGGACAUGAAAUGUAUAUUUAAAUUUUGAAGAUUAAAUUAAGGGGAAAAAAAACACUUUUUUACAAUGGCAAUUCUAAAUAAUACUAUAGUUUUCAGUUAAAUCAUUAAUUUUAUAAAGACAAUCGUUUUCAGAAUCUGAUGGAAUCUGGAAAAGGGAAAAUGGACUUGUGUUAAAAUAUUUAUAAACUAUGCCCUUAUUUGUGAUUUGUAAAAAUGAGAGGGAGCCAGAUAUUAUUGUCUCAAACCAUAUCAUGAGCUCCAUCCAUGUUCACGGUAGUUUCAAAACUUUUCGACAAAGGCUUGGAGACUCGGGUGUGCUUGGUACCAUUGAAAAUGUGUUGUUUUUUGUUUUAUGAAAAGGAAAAUGGAGAAAAUUUGUUUGGUGAGCUUAUUUUGGUAGAAAACUGUACAAUGAUUAAAAAUAAAACAAUUCCAUUUUUUAAUGUUUACAAAGAAAACAAGAGAACGCAAUUAUAACGUUCUCUAUUUUAUUUCACUUUUACUCUCUGCCAAGAGUCCCAAUAUCUUAACUUUUAUAACAUAGUGUAACAAAUUAUGUGGGCCCAUUUAAUAAAGAAAUAAUUUAAUAAAUAAACUAUUAUAACAAAUAUUUAAAAAUAAUAGCAAGAGUUUAUUCCUUAAUUACUUAAUAUAUUACCCAUAUUGUUCUAAAUAAAAAGAAAUAUCAUAUAAUUAUUAUACUAAAUUAUUACAUUGUUCGACCAAUAUGCAGUUAUUUAAAAACUAUUACAAACUUUCAUAUAUUAAUGAAAAUAUAUCAAUAAUAAAGUUACAUUCUAACAGCUAAUAUAAAUAAAUAUAUGAUAAUUAUGAAAUAAUUUAAGAUUUUCUCAAUUAAUAUUAUAUAUUAUCUUAUAACUACAAUUUAUUUACAUAAUUAAAAGCUUUUAAGAAAUUAUUAAAAUAUCUUCGAACCUAUAUGUAUUUAUAAUAAUAUAUAAUACAUCAUAAUAUAUAGCUAAAUAGAUAAAUUAUUUAAUGAUAUAAAAUAUAUAUUUAAAUUCAUUGUAUUAUAUUAUUCUUUCAUAAUAGUUUCAUUAAAUAGUUCUCUAAUCUCUCUCUCUUUUUGUCUUUAUUUUUUUAGACAAGCAAUCAAACACUUUUUUCAUCUUUUUAUUUUCAAGUAUUGUUCUUAAAAUAAAGGGUUAUUAUUAUUUUACUACUUUAAAAUUUGUCAAAUAUCAAAUGACUACAACAAGUAUUGUUUCAUAUCAUUUUCUUACUAUAUCUUUAUAAAAAUAUCAUUUUACUACUUUUCCGUUACAACAAAUAUCAUUUUACUAUUUUUCCGUUACAACCGUUAGUUAACUCGUUAGUCGACCAGUUAGUUGACUAACAAAAUAUUAAUUUUACCCUUCAUGAUUAAAAAAAUAAGUUUCAUUAAAAAAAAUAAUAAGACAAAUUUAUUUUGUAAAUAAGCUUCAUUUUCAUAAUUCCAGCAAAAAGAAUUAUGUUGGUAUUUUAUAUCCAUUUUAAUAAAUAUAUUACAAAUUUAUUUUGUAAAUAAGUUUCAAGUAAUUUUUUUUAAUCAUAAAGGGUGAAAUUGGUAUUUUGUUAGUCAACUAACUGGUUAACUAACGGUUAUAAUGGAAAAGUAGUAAAAUGAUAUUUUUAUCAAGAUAUAGUAGGAAAAUGAUAUGAGACAAUAUUUGUUGUAGUCAUUUGAUAUUUGACAAUUUUUGAAGUACUAAAAUGAUAAUAACCCAUAAAUAAACUACCAAACAUGUUUUUAUUUUUAACAAAAACUAAUCAUUCUUAUUUUAUAGAACAAAUUCAAAAACACCAUUUAAAAAAUGAUACCAAACGCACCCUUAGCUUCCGCUCACUGUGAGUUUUCAAAUCUCUCAACAUACUUAUGCGCAAAUAAUUGGGUUUCCAUCUAGAACUUUACACCGUAUGUUUGAUUUACCUUUUGAAUGUACGGAGUAUGAAUCAACCCUUGAUUUGUUUUUCACCCAGAAUAAUAAUUAUUAUUAUUUUUCGAGUUACCGGCAGAUUAAGGGAUCCCAGCGCUGAUAUUUGCCUCGGGUCAAACCCAGUUAACGGAAGCAUAGGUCGUCGUUUUCGGCUCUUUUUUUUUUUGUUUCGUUUUGAAACGGCACCGUUUCUGCUUCUAUUUUUUUUCUUCUUUCUCUUUGUUUAACUUAACCCAGCUGCAGACCCCUUCCUUCUUCCACUUCGUUCUCUUCAUCCACCGACAACCACAUUUGUUUGCAAAUCCUUCAGAACCCAGCCACUCCUUUGUUUGCCUCCUCUCCAUUCUCAAGUCAAACACGCAACUUUAUACUUUCCUGCACAAUAACAUAUAUAGCUGCAAAGUCUCUUUGUUGUUGAAAUGGAUCAAGACAUUAAAAUAUAUGAGCACAAAUUUUUUAGCACAAAUUUUCAAGGACAAUCUCCAAGUUCAAAGGAAGAAAUUAAUGGCAAUGAAAUAAUCAUGAUGCGAGAUAUGAUUCAUAUAAACACAACCCAGAAGCAUGUAUAAGUUUAAUAACUUAUACACAUCAAUCUACACUAUGCUUCAAAUUGAAGAAACCAGGGGCACCAUUUUUCAAUUCAGGUAUAUUGUUGUUUCUCUUCUCUUCGUUCACAGCAAAUCAGAACAAAGAAAAAAAAUUAAAAGCAGAAACAAUGUGAUGAAGAGAAUGAAGAGAAGAGAACAAAGAGGAAGAAGCAAGGGGUCUGCAGUUGGGUUAAGUUAAACGAAGAAAAAGAAGAAAUCAGAACAAAGGAAAAGAAAAUAGAAGCAGAAAUGGUGUCGUUUCAAAACGAAUAAAAAAAAAUAACAGCCAAAAUGACGACCUAUGCUGCCGUGUCGGGGUUUAACCCGGGACAAACAUCAUUUUCCAAGGGAUCCUUGUCUCUGAAAUUUGAAUUUUUUUUAUAGAUGGGUUAGCGAAUGUUGGUUAUUACUAAUGUGUUUGAUGAAAUACCUGUGAGAAAUUAGUCUUCUCAUGUAAAACUUUUACACUCUGUUUGGCCAGGAGGAUGUUUACAGGGAGGGAAAUAAUGUGGAAUUUUAUAAUGUUUUGAGUCCCAAUAAUAGCUUGACCUUUUCUAUGUUCUUAACCGACGACUAUUGCCAGAACCUACAACAUCGGGUUGGAAAUUUUUAUUGCAAAAUUGAGUAUGAAAAUUGAAUUAAUUAGAAAACUUUUUUGGUUGGAGUUUAGGAUUUAGAGGCAUGCUAGUGAGUGGAUGUUUCCAAUUUCUAUGUUUUGAAAAUUUAGAGAAGAAUUUGUCGGCAAAUAGACCAGAUGCCAAUACUAAUAUGUUGGAAAGUUCUUGUAUUAAUGUGUCACUAUAAAAUCAUCUGCCGUGUAUAUGCUCUUGAAAGGCUAGUUUGGAUAUCUUAUAUAUUAACCUCAAGGGUGAUUUAUGCAUUAAAGAUAGAUUAGAUAUCAUAGGUUUUGGAUGUAUUUCAUUGUUUUGUUAUGAGAAUUGAGGUUUACCUAUUGGUUGAAUGCAUACAUUGACAAUUGCUGACUGGAGCUAUCUACUUUGGAUAUGCAAAGGUAAACCUAAUUUUCAUAAAAUCCACGCGCGUCAGUUAGAAUGAGCCUGGAUGGAACAAACAUUUCUUGAAGCAUCUAAAAAUAAUUCACCAAUAAAUAAAUAUAAUAUUUUCUUGAUGCAUCUUAAUAGUUAUUUAUUUUUUUGCUACAUGCUUACAUGUGCCGCUACAUAUCAAGUGGAAACACUUACACGAGAUCUCACUUAUCAGAUUCCAUUGUGGAACACACCAUUUUUUCUAAAGAAUUCGCCAUGCUCUAUCUGAUCCAUCCAUAAUAUCAUGAAAAAUGGAUACAAAUUUUUGACUGCUACUUAGUACCAAUAAUAGGUCUGAAAAAGUAUUUAAAAAUACCAAAUUUAGAUAUUUGUGCCCUGUCGAAGUAAGGAACCAUGGCAUAUAUGUUUGGAAUCGAUUCCAUUUUGAGAGAGUUGAAAAAGCAUUGUCUCAUUGAAAGGUUCUAGACAUCUGCCAUUUCUCAACGCAUUUCUUUAGACAAAAAUUCUGUUUUUUCCUCUUUCUCUUUUUGGAUAGUAAAUAUUUCUAAGAACAUGGAGUGUGAAUCAAACCCAUAUUUGAAUUGAAAUUGAGAUACUGAUGCAAGUUCUUCUCGUCUGAAUCAGAUUGAUUCAUAUCUGAAAGACAUUGACAAUGAAAUAUUUAGUUCUUUCAGCUGUAUGAGAACUGAAACAUUUAUCCAAUCCAAUUUUAAAAAUUUCUAAGAACAUAGAGUGUGAAUCAAACCCGUGUUUGAAUUGAAAUUGAGAUACUGAUGCAAGUUCUUCUCGUCUAAAUUAGAUUGAUUCAUAUCUGAAAGACGUUGACAAUGAAAUAUUUAGUUCUUUCAACUGUAUGUGAACUGAAACAUUUAUCCAAUCCAAUUCUAAAAAUUUCUAAGAACAUGGAGUGUGAAUCAAACCCAUGUUUGAAUUGAAAUUGAGAUAUUGAUGCAAGUUCUUCUCGUCUAAAUCAGAUUGAUUCAUAUCUGAAAGAGGUUGAUGCGUAAAUUAGCAAGCGCACUAGUUGGCACAAGUAAUAUAAUGAAGAGUAGAGUGACAUAGAUUGUAUAUCCUAUUAAUUACUAAAAUUAUUCUAGCCAUAAUUUAUUUGAAUAACCGAAUAAAUGAAUUUAGAAUAAAAAUUAAAUAAAAUAAAAUAACUAAAAACUAAAUAAAGAUGCAGACAGUAAUAGAAAUCACCAAGAAAUUAAGACAUUAGAACAUCCGAUUUCACCAUAAUUAAUCCAAUUUAAUUCUCCAUCUAUGCUAUUAAAGUUUAUUACCCAUGUUGACAGUGAAUUUCUCUAAUCUAUUUAAUAUCUUCUCUCGAGUAAUAUCAAAAAUAUCAUUACAUAUUAACCCACUAUAUCUCUAUGUGAAUUUCAAUAUGCAAAGAUUCAUUAAGUUAUAUGGAAACUCUUAAAAAAACUGCAUGAAUCACGUUGGCACAUCUAUGUCUUUCGUUCAAUUCAUGACAUCCAUUAAACAGAGCAAAAAUACAUAAAUCUCCUCUCGGUCUCAUUAUGUACCCUCAAAUCAUUUAAAUAUUGGCCAUAUAUUUAAAAGCAUUAAGCACAAUAAUGAACUCUCAAUCAUGAAAUAAUAAACUAAAAAUAAUACAGAUUUAUGGAAUUAAACUUUCAUAGUUAGGUUGCAUCAUAGCCCUAGUAAAAUAAAUUAGUUCAUAGAAAUAUAGAGAGAAUCCAUGAAUUUAAUUGGGAACAUUCAAGUAAGAUAAUAGAAAAAUAGAAAAGAAAGAGUAAACUCAGGAAGCUAUCUCUCCAAAUUGUUGCUCCCGGAUUUGCAGCGGCAGCUUCACUUCUUUUUUUCUUUUCUUGCUCUCGGUUUUUUUCUCAGUUUCUCAAUUUGUGCGGCUGCUCCCGUCCUCCUCCUCGGUUUUGCUUCUCUUUCAUUUUAUAUUAUUGCUCAACCCGCGAAUCCUUAAAUCAAAAGGAUUUAAAACAAGAAUCCCUCUAUGUUACAUUCAUGUAACUUACAACACUCUCACAUAAAUAGUAAGUAAUGUGGCGUUCAUUCACUAUUCAAUAUUCAUGUGAGAGGGUUGUAAGUUACAUGAAUGUAGCUUAACAUUAGCCUAAAACAAAACAAGCCUAGCCUACUUUUUAAGUCCAUGCACGUGAAUCCCACUUGAAUCAAUGGUCAAUGUCCUUUUUUAACUAUUCACGUGAGUUGUAGUGUUGUACACAUAAAAAGCCAAUUAUUGCCCUUUAAACAUCCUUUUUCUUCUUUUCUUUUAUUCUUCACAAGUGACAAUUAUUUCCAUAAACUCUAAUUUGUUUCGUUUUUAAGCUCCCUUUUAUUUGAAUAUUCCCAAUAUUCCUACAAUAAUAAAAUAUAAAAAUAAAAAUAAAAAUAAAUAUAAUAAAAUAUAAUUUAACAUAAAAUUAAGUUAAAUUUUUUUUAAAAUAAUAGAUAAAUUAUGAGUACAUCAAACGUUGACAAUGAAAUAUUUAGUGCUUUCAACUGUAUGCGAACUGAAACAUUUAUCCAAUCCAAUUCUAUGAGUUAUUGAGUACCUCUGAUAUGAGCCUAUGUCUUGUGUAGUUCCUAUUGGUUUUGCCCCUUAUUGAGAAAGAGCUAAAGCAUUUCAAAAGAAAAACCUCCAGCUGUGCCAUUUAACAUCAAUAGACUCCCUUCACACUGUUUUCUUCCUUAACAUGGUUCACAUUUAAUGUGUUUAAGCAGUUUUUAAUUUAUUUUUUAGCAAUAUAUUUAAAUAAAUAACAUUGUUUUUAUUUGUCUAAUAAUUGAUCACUGCAUAUACAUUGGUAAAACAAUUAUCCUCAUUCCAUUGUUGUUUAGCUACAAAACUUUUUUAAAAUCUGAAUUUCUGUGUAAAGUUCUUUUCAUAAGCUUCUUUUUAAUUUGCAGAUUUGGAGAAAAUGAAGAAAGGACUGCACCCUCAGAUGCAAUGGAUAUCCUAUGUGACUCAGAGUGGCAGACUGAUGCAUGUUAUGAUGACAAAAAUACACAAUGUUGGCAAAGUUUACCAUUUUAGGGCCAGGCGCCAAAUGGCUCAGAGUAUUGGACAAGUUGCCAAGUUCAGGCGACGUUAUGAACAGCAGGCGGACGCAGAAAACAAUGAAAAAUGAGGCAUCUAGAACACAUAGAGAAGUUAGGUAUCUGUUGUUGGAUUUGAAUUGCUUUUAAGAAAUAAGCAUAAACAUUGUGCUCUAAAUUCUGAAGCAAAGUUUGUUUUCUGCUCCCUUAAGGCUUCAAUGUUAAGUGCACAUUUCCAUUUUGAUGAUUCGGGUGAUGUCAACGAUAGUUAUAAAGUUUUUGUGCAAUACCAAUCGGCUAGUUUGAUUGCAUGUUUCAUACUUACAUUUGGGCUUGAGUUAGAAUUGGUGGCAUAAUCCUCCUUUGCGCUGUGGUGUUUCUAGCAUUUGGCAUUGUAUAUGCAAGCAAGGGUGCAUUAUUACAUUUUAACCCCCAUUGCUUUGCAAACUUUUGUUGUUUAUGCUACGUAAUGCAAAACAUUAAUUAGUCUUUGUAUUCACCAUCUCAAGUACGGGUGUGAAUUCGUGUAAUGGUGUCGUAUUCGUAUCAUGUCUAUUCAUAUCGCAUAAAAUUUAAGCAAAAACGGAUAUGACUCGAUUUACUAAUCAUGUCAAAACAUCAAAAAAAGGUUACGAUCUGUUUAUUCAUUGUGUUAAUAGCGUUGACUUGUUAACAUACUGAAUACAUAAUUAUUGAAAAUCAAUCUAAAAAAUAAAAUAUAUGUCGAUAUUAUUCUUAAAAAUAGGUCAUAAAUAAAUUAACAUUACAUAAAUAUGACAUGAAUAAAUUUAUAACAUAAUAUGAGUAUGACAUAAAAAAAUUAAUUUAGCAUGUAGUAUAUAUAAUUUAAUUUUUUUUCAAUAAUAUUAAUUAAUAUUCAUGUCUUAAAUAUAAUUAUUUUUAAGUGGUCUAACACGAAUACAAUACGAAAUUUAUCGUAUAUGUCAUGUCAACGCAUUUUUUAAUAAUAUCAAUAUUUGAAAAAAAAAAUCCUCUAUCGUAUGAUCUCUGUUCCAGUUGUUUCCUCUCGGGGUUUAUAAAAGUAAUGGGCCUCAGGUUUGCCCCAUAGGAGGACCAAUUCUUUCCAAGAAAAAAGCCCGUCCAAUUUUAAUUUCAAGGGAUUUGAUUGAUCGCUGCCGACUUUAUUUCUAAUUUAGGAUUUGUUACAGCUAAAGCACCUACAUGCACGAAGCAAAGCAUAAAUCUCCUGCCUAUCACGUAAUUAGUAACAACACAAGACUGGAAAUCAUGAAGCUCCUGUAAGAAAAACAUGAGGCCCCUUAAUAGUAACUGAAAAUCACUUUUCUUUUUCUAUAAUUUUUUUGUUGGUAUAAAUCUCAUUUAGGACUCUUCUUACCUCUAAUGCAAAGUUCAAAUGAUCCGGCUGGCCAAUGCCCUAAUAGCAACCAUCUUGCAACUCUCACUCGUUGUAAUAGUAGAAGCGACUUCAACACACAAAGUUGUGCAACAAAAUGCCAUUGGAAAUGCCUCUACAUCAACAUCAUCGCCAUGGCUCAAUAAAGUAGCAAACGGGGGCCGGCGGCCGAGGCCGUCCGAGUGCUGGAACAGGCAAUGGAUAUGCAGACAAGGAGAAGCACCGGGGACCCGAAUGAGAUGCUGCAGAAACCGUUGCGUUGAUGUGUUUUCUGAUGUUAAUAACUGUGGCUUAUGUGGAAUUCGAUGUCGAUUUUCUUGGCAAUGUUGUCGUGGAUUUUGUACCAACACAAAUAGGGGCCCCUUUAACUGUGGAAGAUGUGGGAAUAGAUGCCCUUGGGGUGUCAGGUGCAUUUAUGGUAUGUGUGGAUAUGCUCAGCCAUGGCCAAGACCAAGGCCAAGGCCACGGCCGCAGCCUCCGCAUCCUUCUCAGCCUAAACCACCUAGUCCUUGCCCGCCAAGGGGUGACCAGCCACCUAAACCACCUAGGCCUUGGCCGCCACGGGGUGAUCAGCCACCUCCUAUGGGUUGAAGUUCAUCAUAUUUCUAGCUGGCUAUAUGGUUCUCAUUUACAGUGAGCUAUUAGCUGUAUCAUUGCCUCUUAGUUAAUGUCUGUUUUGAGUCUUGCUGUUGGUGAAACUAGUCGUAUAUUUCUCUCACUUUAUGUUUAGAGAGCGAUCUUGUGUUUCAACUUUCAUAAGUACUAGUAUUUUGGUGUUUCACUUUCAUGCAAUGCGAAGGUUAAUUCAGUUUGUUUAUAAUUGGCUUUCCAUGCAUGGCGUAGACGCAAGCAUACACGCAUAUAGGGUUUCCUCCAUUGCAUGAAUAAUCCCUCUAUUUCCCUCCAAGUUUGAUUCACGCUCUAGUUUAAAUUCAUUGUGGAUUGCAGAUAUAGAUUUCGUUUCAUUUAUCAAAUUAUCCUCUUCAUUUUAUUUUAACUCCUGCUAGCUCCACAAAACUUGCCCAUUUAUACAUUACUUGGGGUAAUUUUUAUUUUUUAUUAUUUUAAAGAAUUAUGCAACCAAGUCAUUAAACUGCCCCAUAAAUUUAAACAUCAUUAGGAAGCAUCAUAAACUAAGGGAUAUUGUUAUUGUACGAAUACAGUUUUAGGUUUAAAAAUAAAAUUAAAAAAGGGGCAACCAACUGCAUCAACUUUGCAAAAUGAUACAUUAGUUUUCUCUCCCAGGUUCGUAGUUUCAGAAUGGAAAAAUAGGUCGGAAUUACUUGUACUUCUCUGCAAGUAAAUGGAACUCAAGUUAGGUCAAGUAUCCAGCAGUUGAGGCAAGACUUGUUCGAUUGCAGUCGCCUAUUAUUAAUAGACAGGAAAACUCGGAUCCACAUCAUUUGCCCAAGACUCCAGGCCUCCAAUAAUAUCUCUUGCAGAAGUGAAACCCAGCUUGUGAAGAGCUUGUACGGCUCUCUGUGAAUCAUUGCCUCUUCUGCAUACUACAUACAGGUUAGAACCUGAACUCGCAUUUGAUCCUCUGUGCUCUUCCUUUUCUUUCAUUGCCGAUGAAAUCUCAGGCAACCUGGAUUCCAAAUCUGAGAGAGGGAUGUUUAUGGAGUUUGGAAGAGAAACAAUCCUGAAGUGAUGUGCUGGCCUGACAUCAACUAAUAUAUGAGCUUCUCCAUUAACAACUUUUUCUUUGUACUCCUUGCUGCUUAUUCUAGAAUCUGCUGAGAGCAAAUUCAAUUUCAAGGGAAGCUGUAUAUAAUUGGAAUGUCAACGUAUUAGAUUUUAGCGAUAUAAUAAUAUUGGCAGUUAAAUUAGCAGAAUGCAAUACAUACCGUAGACAGAGGUGACUGAGUGAACUUUUCAUAAUCAAAAUUUCUGAAGUGGUCUUGGGUAAAUGUUGAAUUUUCUCCACAAGCUUCACAUUGUGAUGAUCUGCCUCUAAUCUUGACCUAAGCAAUGAUAUAGAGACAAAUAUCAGCAUGUAAAUUAAAUGUCAAGAAGGUUCAGUUUAACUAUUACUUGAACAAAAUGCGUUUAAGGUAUUCACAUCAGAAAGACAGAAACCAUACAAAUCUAAAUCCAUUUUGGUUUCACCAAAUAUGGUAUAUGCUAAAUACAAUUACUGAAGCUUGUAAAUUGUUAAGAAUAUUAAUCAUGCUUUCCAAACUAGAGUUGACCAGUAACAAACUUUGAAAAAUAAGUAAAAUGAACAUACAAUUCGGAUUCGUGCUGACAAUGCAUCAAACAGGAGCAUCCGUCCUGACAGUGGUUCACCAACAGCACUUGCAACCUUAAUGGCCUCUAAGGCUUGGAGACAGCCAAUGAUUCCAGGAACUGAAAACGAAAAAUUAAAAGCAUUAGUAUUUCAUAAAGCAAACGGCAUUUCAAGAGCUUGAAAAUUGGGCAUUAUGGUAUUGAAAUAUAACUUCGGCUGUACCAAAUGAAUUACUAACCUACCUACUCCAAGGACUCCACUAUCAGCGCAUCUUUGGCAUGCUGUAGUUGGUGGUGGGGUUGGAAAUAGGCAACGAUAGCAAGGACCUCCAUUGUAAUUGUAAACUGUGAGCUACAGUGCAAAUUUUAACAAUGCAGUUAUGCUAGAAGCUCAGGUACUAUACAUGAGCCAAAACUAAAAUCUCUACAAAAUAUCUUUUAUAUGUUUCUAGCUAGAAGAAUAGCACAAAACUGCGGCUCAAUUGCAUACCUGCCCUUCCAGUCCCAGUGCAGCACCUGAUACCAGAGGCUGCAGGCAUAAACAUGGAUUAAUAAUUUUUCAAAGCAGGCAAUGGCAGAAUAUCAUAUGUUUCUCACAUGUUGAAACACAUAAGACAUUGCCUCAGCUGCAAGCCUCAUUUAAAACGAAAACCAGAAAUGUAAACACAGUACACAUGUUAGCCCAGUAACCUCGUUAUCUGAAAUUAAAAUUGAAUCUCUUAACAAUUUUAAAUGCAUUUAGGGAUGAACAGAAUCUAUGCGAACCAAAAUAUAACUUCAUUGAACUCCAAUUGCCCCACGUCAAAACAUUAUUUUGAAGUCAAUUUAUACAUCCUUACACAAUCAUGCAAGACGAUCAGCAAGUCACAGAGUCAACUUACCUUUCCCAACACCACACAACAAUCACUGAUCAUGUAACGGCUUGGAGCAUUAUCGGUUGCAUCUACAACUAUCUCAUAUCUAAAAUGUUACAACAGUUACGGAACUCUCGAGAUUCCAGAUAUACUGACCCCAGUGGUAAAUGGAGGGAAAUUUUAUUUCACAGAGAGAAUUAUUCAUUCAACUAUUUCCGAAGGAUACUGACUCAGUAUUUCCAAAGCAUUGGAUGUGCGUAAAGCUUCUCUGUGCUCAAUAAUGUGAACAGUGGAGUUGAUCCUGGAACACACAUUCAUAUUAGAUAAAAUCAAGACAAAGCCAAUACAACAGAAUAAGCCCCACCAAACUCUCAAGUGAAGACAAAAAUGAGUUCAGCCUUCAGAAUAAGGUGAGCUAAUGCAAAAAAUGCAGAAAAGUAACAUACGAACGACAAGUAGCAGCAGCAGAUUUCACUUUUGAUUGACCAAUAUAUGGUUCGGUGUGGAUAACCUGAAAUAUGCAAAUAAAAAAGAAACUAAUAAAAGAAUAUUUAUAAUCACAAUCACAAUCACCAUAAGUAAUUUUUCUUUUCUUUCUUUCUUUUUUUUUUUUGGGAAAAUUCAAGAUGACAUUGUAGAAAGAGAGAUGCAGAAAAUAAAGCAAUGUAGAUAUAAUUUUUAUAAGCAUUGAUCAUCUGCCUACAUGUGCCUGUUACAGGGGGAGUUAAAAUGUUUUUGAUGGUGAGAAAGACACUGAAGUGACACGCGUGUAUGUAUUCAAAGUCAUAAGUAAUAGCAUCAGGUCAAUGGUGAUAGCAAAUUGACAGAAUUCUACAGAUCAACAAUAGUAGCAGGAAUAGUGGAAUACCAUAUAUCAUAGAAACAGUAAACACGAAUUUCCUAUUUUUACCUGCCUGUGCAUGUUGUUAAGCUCAACUACAUCAUGAUCCACAAUACCCAAUCGCCCUGAAGAACAAUUAAACAAAAAAGUCAAGCUAAUGAAACAUUCAAAAGACAUAUAUAAAACAGCAGCCAUUUGAUAAUCACAUAAACAAACCAUUCAGCAUAAAUCAAAGUGGAUGCAGUGGGGGGCUUUUUGCUCAGCAAAAGCCCUUCGGAUAGUAAAUAAGGCGUUGAUAUCGCCUAUCCAAAAAAAAUUUGAUUGAAAAGAAACACUUGCAAGAAGAGCUACUUAGUAAAAACAUUACCAAACACAAUUUAAACCAUAUUCAGUGAACUCUUAAAUCAUCUUACCAACACCACAAGCUGCAAGAUACAGCAGAGCCGGCGAGCCCAAGCCCCCAGCUCCAAUCACUAAAAUCGAAGACUUGAGGAGAUUCGAUUGCCCUACAACAAGAAAUAAAUCCAAAAUUUCAAAUUUAAUUCAAUAAGAUGCUAAAGGAAUGAAAUUCUGGAAACAAUUGAUUUAAAAAGUCAAACCUUCAACACCGAAAGAAGGAAGCAAGAGGUGGCGACUGUAACGGUAAAUCAUAUCCGGUGAUAGUCCAUAAUCAACGGCAGAGCUUGGACGAUAAGAACCAUUAGAAACGGUGUCGGUUUGGGGCUGACUAACAGUCGUGUCACGAAGCUGAGCUUCAAGAGCGGAGAUUCGAUAAUCAAUAUCACUCUUAGCAGCCUUUAAGGUUUCAAUUUCGCCGAGGACUCUUGCCACGUCAGUGCUACCUCCGUUUGUCUCCAUAUUCUGAACAACCGAAGACGUCCAGUGAAGACUGUGAAGUGGGGUCAGAGGUGAAGCGGCAAUCAGAGGAACCCUAAUUAGACAGAAAAGUGACAAAUUCAAAGAAUGAUACCGGUGAGCUGGAAACAGGAGGAAAAAAAAACCUUAACACAUCCUAAUUUCAGACUCCUAACGCAAGAUGGAAGAAAAAGACGAAAUUACCCUUGAAGGAGAUUCCAGACGUGUUCGAUGUAAUUGCUCUCACCAAAUCACAACCCGCCAGGGAUGAUCCCUAUCGUGAGACCAAAAACGGAAUGGCAAAUGAAUAAACAGCCACGUGUCUCGUUGGCUCUCGGACUGAUAUGUCUAUAAAUAUAUCAAUCCGAAGUCUGAUCAUUCCCUCUCGGCAAAGUUAAACCAUCCAUCCGAUCAGUCGCAAGGGGCGUGGCUCACUCACAAAUCCAAUACUAACAAUAAACGAUGUCGUUAGUGUCGCAAAUGAGAGGCUUCAUCUUCCUUUACUUCAAAUCUUCACGACCAUCUUCUAUCAAGCCUUUGACGGCAUAUCUCUACAAGCCCUUCAAGGUACGCGCAUACGCAUAGAACAUAAAUAAUCGCAGUUGAUUAGUUAACUAUAAGAUUAAUUUUUGAUCUUAUUGUUUUUUUUUUUUUUUUUUUUUUUUGGGUUCGUGUCUAUUACGUUAUUUUGACAUAAUUAAAUAAAUGAAUACUGUGUCGUAUCAGAGGUACGGUAGCGAAGGAGCAAGCAAUAAAGAUCAAAAUAUAAGUAGUCUUCACCCCGAGAGGCAUGGGAGAGCGCCGUCAAUAGCUGAAGAGUUCGAGAGAGUUGCAGAGGAAAAGCUUCGAGCUGCGGGUCAAGGGGUUGGGAGUCAGACCAAGGACAAGGUUUACGAUGGAGCCGAAGAAUCCACCCGCGGUGGCUCCAAUGUUGAUUCUGUCAAAAACAGAUUCGAGGAGCACGAACAAGGAGCUGACUACCGCGGGAAGGGAGAUUGAGAUGUUUAAUAAUUAGUUUCAUAUACUCGGAGAUCUGUGAUUUUGAAUAAGUUGAUGAAGUAUGUGCAAUUCAUCAAAGAUGUAAAAUUCUUCUCCGUUUAGUUUCUUGUUUUGAUGCUGAGUUUUGGUAUGAUCAAGUUGAUGACAUUGGGAUAAAAAUACAGUUCUAUAAUAUUUAUGUGGGUUCAUAAAAUUCAUUCGUAUUGGCUUUAUAAUAUAUCUGUGAUUGAAUCAUAAAAAUUGUUGCAAAGAAAUAACCGAAGCUGCGCGAAUGUAAUUUUCGAACAAGCAUUUUAUUAUCAGAGUAAUUUAUGACAAAUUUCUAAAACAUGCCCUGCUGUCUCUAUCGUCCUCAUUCCUUUCCAAAUGUGUAAAAGGAUGAGAACCAAAAAAUAGAAUAAAAUAUGAACGUACACAAUUGACUCCAGCACAAAUCACAACUAGCGCGGGCCUAUUAAAAAGUCCUGAUAAAUUUUGGCUCCGUGUCGGUGGUGCUUGAAUAAAUUAUAUUUUCCUUCGUAAGAACCCGGGCCUAAUAAACUCAGCAGUAGAGCGGAAAGAGCCCAAUAGGAACGGCAAUAAGUUGGGUCUUUUUCCAUCUCUCAAAAUUCUUUAUAAAACUCAUUUCUUAUUAAAAUUACAUGAACACCUGAAAAUUAAUUAAUUAUUUUUUAUUUUAAAUGAAAAUUUAAUUAAUAUAUUCUUUCAACAAAAUUUCUAUUUCAUGAUUUUUUAUUGAUGUUUUAAAAUUAUAGCUAAAAAAUAUUUUGUAAAGAAUAUUAUAAGAAUUUUGAGUUAUGGAAUUAUAAGUAAUAUAAAAAAAUAUGUAUUUUAUAAUAAAUAAUUAAAAAAAUUUAACGUGAAAUUUGGUAAAAAUAUGGUUACUUUUUUUUUAUAAAAAUAUUUUAUAAAUUAAACUGAGAUUUUUCUUAAAGGGUGUUAAAAUUCCGCCCAAUGGGAGUACAUGCUUGAGCCCAACAAAGGCCCACUAAAAACAUACGGCAGUCAACAAUCAAAACCUGGCUUGGCUUCUUCUCCUACUCCUGCUUCGUUUCCUCUCAAUUUUUCUCACUUAUCUAACAAACCGCCAUCAAUCAGCGGCCGCCGCCGCAAGCCGCUGGCAGCAGUCACUUGGUUGCCCAAAUCGCCGGUUUUCUCACUCUUCGCAGUAAGUUUUUUUUAUCUGAAAUUAAAAUUUACUCUCUGAAAGUUAUUAUCAUUUUGAAUUUUUAUCGGCUUUAGCACCAUUAAUUGUAUCGCUAUCAUUACUGAAAAUAUCGAAGAGCAGAGAAAAACAUUUGCUUUUAUAUCUGAUUGAAAGCUUCAAUUUGUGGUGACAAUUCUUUUUCUUACUGUAUGUGAUGUAGGGGACCUGCGUUUUGAUUUUGUUUUCUAUUGGAACUUACUAUUAUGAGCUCCAUGUUCGCAGUAGUUUAAAAACUUUUCGACAAAGGCUUCGAAACUCAGUUCUCGGUCACUGUAAGUUUUCAACUCUCUCAAUAUACUGAUGCGCAAAUAAUUGGGUUUCCAUCUCGAACUUUACACGGUAUGUUUGAUUUACCUUUUGAAUCUCAUGAUGGCCAUUUUAUUCUCUACAGAAUUUUUGUUUUCUAAAAACUUGAGUAUGAAUGUACGGAGUACGAAUCAACCCUUGAUUUGUUUUUCACCCAGAAUAAUAAUUAUUAUUAUUAUUAUUUUUUUUUUUUUGAGUUACUAGCAGAUAAAGGGGUCCUUGUCUCUGACAUUUGAAUAUUUUUGAUAGAUGGGCUAGUGAAUUUUGGUUAUUACUAAUGUGUUUGAUGAAAUACCUGUGAGAAAUUAGUCUUAUCAUGUAACACAUCUACAAUCUGUUUGGCCAGGAAGAUGUUUGCAGGGAGGGAAAUAGUGAGGAAUUUUAUAAUUUUUGAGACCCGGUAAUAGCAUGACCUUUUCUUAACUGAGGACUAUUGCUGGAACCUACAGCAUAGGAUUGAAAUUUUUAUUGCAAAAUUGAGUAUGAAGAUUGAAUUGAUUAGAAAACUUUUUACAUUGGACUUUAGGAUUUAGAGGCAUGCCAGUGAGUAGAUGUUUCCAAUUUCAAUGUUUUGAAAUUUUAGUGAAGAAUUUGUGAGCAAAUAGACCAGAUGCCAAUACUAAUAUGUUGGAAAGUUCUUGUAUUAAUGUGUCACUAUAAAAUCAUCUGCCAUGUAUAUACUCUUGAUAGGCCAGUUUGGAUAUCUUCUGUAUUAACCUCAAGAUUGAUUUAUGCAUUAAAAAUAGAUUAGAUAUCAUAGGUUUGGAUGUAUUCCAUUGUUUUGUUAUGAGAAUUGAGGUUUACCUGUUGGCUGAAUGUACAAUUGUUGACUGUAGCUAUCUACUUUGGAUAAGCAAAGGUAAACCUAAUUUUCAUAAAAUCCACGCGCGUCAGUUAGAAUGAGACUGGAUGGAACAAACAUAUCAUGAAGCAUCUUAAAAUUAUUCACCAAGAAAUAAACAUAAUAUUUUCUUGAUGCAUCUUAGUAGUUAUUUAUUUUUGUGCUACAUGCUUACAUGUGCUGCCACAGAUCACGUGGAAACACUUACUCAAAAUCUCACUUAUCAGAUUCCGUUGUGGAAGACACCAUUUUUUCUGAAGAAUUGGCCAUGCUCUAUCUGAUCCAUUCAUAAUAUCAUGAAAAAUGGAUACAAAUUUUUGACUGCUACUUAGUACCAGUAAUAGUCUGAAAAAGUAUUUAAAAAUACCAAAUUUAGAUAUUUGUACCCUGUCGAAGUAAGGAACCAUGGCAUAUAUGUUUGGAAUCGAUUCCAGUUUGAGAGAGUUGAAAAAGCACUGUCUCGUUGAAAGGUUCUAGACAUCUGCCCUUUCUUAACGCAUUUCUUUAGACAAAGAGUCAAAGACUCCAUUUUUCCUCUUUCUCUUUUCGGAUGGUAAAUAUUUCUUAGACUGUGGAGUGUGAAUCAAACCCAUGUUUGAAUUGAAAUUGAGAUACCGACGCAAGUUCUUCUCGUCUAAAUUAGAUCGAUUCAUAUCUGAAAGAAAUUGACAAUGAAAUAUUUAGUGCUUUUAGCCGAAUGUGAACUGAAACAUUUAUCCAAUCCAAUUCUAUGGGUUAUUGAGUACCUCUGAUAUGAGCCUAUGUUUUGUGUAGUUCCUAUUGUUUUUGCCCCUUAUUGAGAAAGAGCUAAAGCAUUUCAAAAGAAAAACCUCCAGCUGUGCCAUUUAACAUCAAUAGACUCCCUUCACACUGUUUUCUUCUUUAACAUGGUUCACAUUUAAUGUGUUUCAGCAGUUUUUAAUUUAUUUUUUAGCUAUAUAUUUAAAUAAAUAACAUUGUGUUUAUUUAUCUAAUAAUUGAUCACUGCAUAUACAUUGGUAAAACAAUUAUCCUCAUUCCAUUGUUGUUUAGCUACAGAACUUUUUUAAAAUCUGAAUUUCUGUUUAAAGUUCUUUUCAUAAGCUCCUUUCUAAUUUGCAGAUUUGGAUAAAAUGAAGAAAGGACUGCACCCUCAGAUGCAAUGGAUAUCCUAUGUGACUCAGAGUGGCAGACUGAUGCAUAUUAUGAUGACAAAAAUACACAAUGUUGGCAAAGUUUACCAUUUUAGGGCCAGGCGCCAAAUGGCUCAGAGUAUUGGACAAGUUGCCAAGUUCAGGCGACGUUAUGAACAGCAGGAGGAUGCAGAAAACAAUAAGAAAUGAGGCAUCUAGAACACAUAGAGAAGUUAGUUAUGUGUUGCUGGAUUUGAAUUCCUUUUAAGAAAUAAGUAUGAACAUUGAGCUCUAAAUUCUGAAGCGAAGUUUGUUUUUGUACUACCUUGAGGCUUCAAUAUUAAGUACACAUUUCCAUUUUGAUGAUUCUAGUGAUGUCAACGAUAGAAACGGUGUCGUUUUGGGGCUGAGUAACAUUCGUCUCGCGAAGCUGUGCUUCAAGAGCCGAGAUCCGGUUCUCAAUGUCACUGUUAGCAGCCUUUAAGGUUUCAAUUUCGCCGAGGGCUUUUGCUACGUCAGCAUUACCUCCGUUUGUCACCAUAUUCUGAACAACCGGAGACGUCCAGCGAAGACUGUGAAGUGGAGUAAGAGGGAAUGCGGCAAUCAGAGGAACCCUAAUUAUACCGAAAAGUGACAAAUUCGAAGAAUGAUACCGUUGAACUGGAAACAUUAAAAAAAAUAACCUUAACACCUCCUAAUUUCAGACUCCUAACGCAAGAUGGGGGGAAAAAUAGAAAGACGAAAUUACCCUUGAAGGAGAUUCCAGACGUGUGCGAUGUAAUUGCUCUCACCAAAUCACAACCCGCCAGGGUUGAUCCCUUGUUUCCGAACGAAAAUGAAAUGGCAAAUGCAUAAACAGCCACGUGUCUGUUCACUCUCGGACUGAUCUGAACUGCGCGGGUCCCUAUGAAAUAUCCAUAAUCCAUCCAAAGUCUAAUCCUUUUCUUUGGGCAAAGUUAAACCAUCCAUCCGAUCAGUCGCAAGGGGCGUACUCACAAAUCCAAUACUAACAAUAAACGAUGUCGUUAGUGUCGCAAAUGAGAGGCUUGAUCUUCCUUUACUUCAAAUCUUCACGACCGUCUUCUAGCAAGCCUCUGACGGCAUAUCUCUAUAAGCCCUUCAAGGUACGCACACACGCAUGGAACAUAAAUGAUCGCAGUUGAUUAGUUAACGAUCAGAUUAAUUUUUGAUCUUAUUAUUAUUAUUUUUUUUUUUUUUUUUGGGUUCGUGUCUAUUACGUUAUUUUGACAUAAUUAAAUAAAUGAAUAUUGUGUCAUAUCAGAGGUACGGUAGCGAAGGAGCAAGCAAUAAAGAUCAAAAUAUAAGUAGUCUUCAUCCUGAGAGGCAUGGGAGAGCGCCGUCAAUAGCUGAAGAGUUCGAGAGAGUUGCAGAGGAAAAGCUUCGAGCUGCGGGUCAAGGUGUUGCAAGUCAGGCGAAGGACAAGGUUUAUGAUGGAGCCGAAGAAGCUACCCGCGGUGCCUCCAAUGUUGAUUCUGUCAAAAACAGAUUCGAGGGGCAUGAACAAGGAGCUGAUUACCGCGGGAGGGGAGAUUGAGAUGUUUAAUAAUUAGUUUCAGAUUCUGUGAUUUUGAAUAAGUUGAUGGAGUAUGUGCAAGUCAUCAAAAACGUAAAAGUCUUCUCUAUUUCGUUUCUUGUUUUGAUGGUGAGUUUUGGUAUGAUCAAGUUGAUGACAUUGGGAUAAAAUUACGGUUUUGUAAUGUAUUUGUGGGUUCAUUAAUUCAUAUUGGCUUUAUAAUAUAUCUGUGAUUGCAUCUUAAAAAUUGUUGCAAAGAAAUAACUGAAGCUAUAUGAAUGUAAUUUUCGAACAAGCGUUAUUAUCAGAGUAAUUUUUGACAAAUUUUCUAAAGCAUGAAAUGCUGAUGCUGUCUACAUCAUCAUCCGGAUUCCUGAUCAAAUAUGGAAAAGGAUGAGAACCAAAAAAUAGAAUAAAAUAUGAACGCACAACUUUGACUCCAGCACUAAUCACAACUAACGCGGGCCCUGUGCAAGGCUUAUCUCUCGGUCUCUGGUGCUUGAAUAAAUGGCAAUGAGUUGGUCCUUCUCCAUCUCUCAAAAUUCUUUGUAAAAUUCCUUUCUUAUUAAAAUUACUUAAAUGCCCAAAAAUUAAUUAAUUAUCUUUAUUUUAAAUAAAAUUUAAUUAAAUAUUAUUUCAACAACAUUUCUACACCUAUUCCAUUUCAUAAUUUUUAUUUGUAUUUUAAAGUUAUAAUUAAAAAAUAUUUUUUAAAGAAAAUUGUAUGAAUUUUGAGUUAUGGAAAUAUAAAUAAUAUAACAAAAAAGUAAUUAAGGAUUUUAGAAUUUAUAUGUUUUUUAAUAAUGAAUAAUUAAAAAUUUUUAAGCUGAAAUUUGGUAAAAAUAUGGUUACUUCUUUUUAUAAAUAUAUUUUAUAUAUUAAACUCACAUUUUUUAGAAAAUAAAAGUUAUUAUGAUUUUAUAGGGUGUUAAGAAUCCGCCCAAUGGGGAUUGCAUGAUUGAGCCCAACAAAGGCCCACUAAAAACAUAAAGCAGUCAACAAACAAAACCUGGCUCGGCUUCUUCACUUACUCCUGCAUCGUUUCUUCUCUAUUUUUCUCACUUAUCUAACAAACCGCCAUCAAUCAGCGGCCGCCGCCGCAAGCCGCUAGUAGCAGUCCCUUGGUUGCCCAAAUCGCCGGUUUUCUCACUUUUCGCAGUAAGUUUUUUUCUGAGAAAUUAAAAUUUACUCUCUGAAAGUUAUUAUCAUUUUGAAUGUUUAUCGGCUUAGCACCCUUAAUUGUAUCGCUAUCAUUACUGAAAAUAUCAAACAACAGAGAAAAACAUUUGCUUUUACAUCUGAUUAAAAGCUUCAAUUUGUGGUGACAGUUCUUUUUCUUACUGUAUGUGAGGUAGGGGACCUGCGUUUUGAUUUUGUUUUGUAUUGGAACUUACUUGACAAUCCCAGAGCAAUUUUUACAAACUUUCAACAUUAUUAAUUUGGUUUCAUUGCAUUUUUUGAAUAAGUGGAAUCAGAAACAACAGUAAAUUCCAAGCUAAUGUUUGUUUAGACAUAUAGUUGGCUUCUCUUACAUUCUAUGUGUUCUUAUGGUUUUUUUUUUUUCGUUUUUUUGUUAAUGUUCUGUCAGAUUUCAUAUCUGUAGGAAAUAAUAGUGGGAACAAGGCAGAAAUGAAUGCUUUCAAAGCUUUUAAAGCCUGUGUUCCAAUUGAAUGGAGUCCAAACUUGUAUAUAACCCUUGUGAGGGGGAUGCCAGGCACGAGAAGGCUUCACAGACGCACUUUAGAGGCAUUACGUCUCCGGAAAUGUAACCGCACUGUGAUGCGCUGGAACACUCCCACCGUCCGAGGAAUGCUUCAGCAGGUAUCAGGAAAAUCUCAAAGUGAAAAUUUUUUUUUUUUAAUACAUUUUCAUGCAAGGGUCUUUCUCUAUAUUUGGGUUCUUUUGCUGCUUUCAAGUCAGCAGGUAUCAGAAAAGGCUCAAAAUGGUUAUUUUUCUUUUUAACAUAUUCGUGCAAGUUUCUCUGCUUUUGGGUUCAUUUGGUGCUUACAAAUACCAUAUAUAUAGGUAAAAAGGUUGGUUGUAAUUGAGACAGAAGAGAUGUAUAAGGCUCGCAAAGAGAAGUUGGCCAACCACAGAGCUCUACGCCCCCCCUUGGUCAUUAAUCAUCUGUCAAGUUCUACAACUCAAUCCACUUAGCUACCUUUGAAAUUUUUCACAAGCUUGGAUUUCCUCCUCCGUUUACGUAGUAAUUCUGUUUCCUGUAAAAUUGUUGCUUCCUAUGAUAGUCAUAUGCUUUGGUCAAAUCUGGUUAAUAUGUCUAAACAUUUUAGUGUGAGAUGCAAGCUCUUUACGAAUAACUGCUUAUCUCUUCUAUGGUGAUGAAUUUUAUUUUUCUAGAAGGGAAUGUUCCUGCUGUAACAAAUAAAAGUAAUUUUUAGACAUUAGGUUCCAAGUCUAAUACAUAAUCCAACUGAUGAGAUGCUUGUCUGGAUUGUUCAGCCACCACAAGAUUUUUCAACUAAGCAAUUUUCAGCCCCAAUUGCUUGGGACUAUGACAUUUUCCUUUGAAGUGCUAGUGCAAGAUCUAAGGUAGUUGUUUGCUAGAUUUAGUUAAUAAAUAAGGUUUAUGCAUAUUAUUUAAUCAAUUUUGGCAUAUUUAGAUUUCAAACCAAAAACAAAAAACAAAUGCCACCUAGUUUCUCUUGGAUGCCAUUCAAGGUUUUCAGAUUUUCAUUUUGUUGUUUAGUUUUUCUCUUCUCAUCAGUCACCUUUUUGGUACCUGUUUGAGUAUGUUUAUUACUUCCAGAACUUGAUAUCUUUGGUGAAUAAACAUGAAAAAAAAAUAUAGUCUAUUUUAUCGUUCUAGCACCUUCUGCUUGGUGAUGAAUAUUCAUGUUGAUCAAGGAUCUUGAACCUUCUUCUUUUUUUCCCUUCUCUCUCUCUCUCUUUUAAUUGAAUGUAGAAUGCAAGUUGCAAUAUUUGUAUCCAAUCCUCCCUAUUUCUAGUUUCAUUUCUUACCAGUACCAAGUUUUCUGAUACACUUAAUAUGAAAAUUUGACAGAAAACUUAAAGUUUGUAAGGAAAAAUUGGGGAGAAAAAACCAAAAAUGGGGGGCUAGAUUACCAUACAUUUACUGUAAAGUGCAGCUAAGCAAAAAUCAGAAACUGAAGCAGGAAUUAAGUCAGCCGGUUAAUAAUUUUUGUCUGAUUGUACCUUACGAAAAAUGUAAAUUAGCAAGAUCCAAAAAAGUUUGAAGGGCUGUAAAGGCUGAUGGACUUGGUCGAGCUUUUCUUAGAUGUAUUUUGACAAGCAAUAAUGUUAGGGCAACUGGUAUCAUAUGAUUCAUAUCCCAUAUGAUGUUUCUGCGGAUUUGUAAUUGUGACAUCCCUUUUCAUACGUUGAUAGAAAUUAAUGAAUUCACUGAUGUGACAUUUACAAAUCAACUACCCCAUCACUUGGUUUCCAAAUUUUGGGGUACUGCUUAGAAUCUAGCACUUUCGUUUGAUGAAUUUCUAUGUCAUCAAUUUCCUCGUCUUCUGAAAUCUAUCUCAUGGUGAUCAUUUUGAUAACCUAGUUCAAGUUAUAAACCGUGAGAUCUUUUAGGUGUAGUAAGCAGUCAUAUUAUAGAUGACACUAUUCUGGAUAUGGAUAUAUACUACCGAUACCGAACCCGGAAACUUGUCGUCCGAGCAAACACUUUCAAGUUUUGAGCGAAUGGACCCAGAAAAUUGCCAUCCACACGCAGAAGUAAAGUAAAAUAACGAUCUUGUAGUUUAAUGGCAUACACAUUAAUCAGUUGAAAACGUUAGGCCCCGAAAGAUCAUGUUUUCUUCAGCUUUGCAUUUAUAUUCAUAUGCACUAUCUUUUCUUUUAACUUCUCACAGCAUUAAAGCCCUGAUAUUUUUAAAAGCGGCAUGCAAUAUGUGAAGUGUGUCUCAUCGAUUCUUGCCCAAUUGUUCUACCUAUUCAAUGAAGCAUUUGUGUGAGUGAAAUCUUUUAUCACAUCUCAGCUUAAAUAAAUUCAUUUACUUGUUUCUCCAUCGCAUUUCCUUCUGUUUUGUUUCAUAAUUUUAUUAAAUACGUCGAAUAUUGGUUGUUCCAAUGGGUUAAAACCAAUUUAUUAAUACUGAACAUGUAUUAGCUGGAAGCAAUCAAGAGAUUAUCAGUAUGCGAAUCAAGGCUGUAUAAUCUAUGUAAUUUAGCAAAAACUCCGACUAGUGUUGCGGUAUUAUACGUGCAGGCCUCUGUCUGCACAAAGUUCGACCGUUCAUCUCGAAACUGAUCCUUCUCGUCGGGCCCACCGACGAGGGCCCCAACAACAACAUUCGGGUUGGGAUCAAGCCGUUUAAACCAAUCAUCAUACCCCUGGGUGCACCCGAUAAAACCCUGGUCCUGUUUGUAAGACACGGUAGAACCUCCUCUGUGGUGCAUUCUUUGAGGGAACUUUGAACCAUAGCCCACCAAGUAACUAACCGCCAUUGGAUUAGAGCCCAAGAUGUAAUCAACCUGUGAUUUGGCAAAGUCAAAGAGUUCCUGGGGGGUCAACGUGCCGCGGUCGCACUUAAGCGUCUGAUUUGUUGACUGAAGGUAAUCACCGUAAACAGUGAGCAGAAACGCAGCCGUUGACACGUACUGCAUGUUGUUCCAUUGGCGGAUGUACAGUAGGCCUCCCGGGGUGCGAUCCACGUUGGUCUCAUUGUUCUUGUUAAGGCACGCACAGAGAUAAAAUUCAGCUUUCGAAAGGUAUCGUUCAAGAACUUGCUCGUGUUCCUUGUGAUUAUUCACCAUUGAAGCGAUGAUUUGAACGCCAGCGUACUUAACGUCCCAGCUAAAUUCAGUAAUGGCCCAAGUGAUCCCACCAAAACGAUCGGCAUUAUCAAGCACGUACUUCAAAUACGCCUCGUUGUCGGUUGCCUUGUGUAGCCACACAGCCGCCCAUAACAACUCGUCCAUGUAUCCACUAACCGACGGAUAGUACCCCUUCACUACCUCUAUACUACUGUCGUAUUUCCCUCUGUACUUGUCACCAAACUCAAACAACUGCAAAACAAAAUGCUUUUGUAAUUUGUAAUAUAAACUGGAAUUAAUUAAUUAAUUAAAGCAUGCUCUAAAUUUGGUUACUAACAAAACUCUCUUGUUUUGGUGAGUAUUGUACCUACCAUAUAUAUGUAUAUGCUUAUGGUCACUAUUAAGUCACUACUAUUACAAGUUAACAACCUCAUUAACUGACUUACCUGUUGCGCGUGGUGCAAUAGUAGGUGAGAGUAAUGUGGGUUUAGUUUCCUAAACACAAUUGAUGCUGCCGCCAUUGCCGCUGCCGUCUCUCCGGCGACAUCCGAGCCGGGGUUUCUCUCGUCUACUUUGUAAGCACGCCGCGACGUCGUCAUGUCUUCCGGCCGCUGCCAACAGUAGUGAUCGGUGUCUCCAUCACCCACCUGGUAAUUGUUUAAGGCUGAUUGAAUCAGAAAAAAAAAAAAGGGGCCAUUGUUGUACAAAUUAACAUUUUAUAUUUUUUUCCAAGGAACGAUUUAAUUUUACCUCAACCCAUAAUACAUGAGGGUGAGUGUGAGCUUUGAUGAAAUAAUCAGUUCCCCACUUGAUGGCCUCGAUUGCAUGAUGAUACUCGCCAGCGUCGGAAAUUUCUCCACCAUACUGAAUAACUCCCCAGGAGAGCAUUGUUAUAGUAAAUGCCAUUGGCAAACCAAACUUCACAUUGUCACCAGCAUCAUAGUACCCUCCCACCAAGUCCACCUACACAUAAUUCCCAUCAAAAUAUACGUAUAUAUUAUUCUUCAUCGUAUUUGUAUUCAUGUAUACAUUUGCCAUCGCCUGUCUAUGGGUGCAUGUACGUGUUUAUAACAUUUAUUAAGGAAAUAUAUAUUUGAUGGGUUUAUAGAGUGAAUGGUCUUACUCCUUGUUCUAGGCCGUCGGUGAGGCCGGAGUGGUGGCGCCAGGUGACUCUUUGGUUGUGCGGCAACCGGCCGGAGCGUUGUGAUUCGAAGUAGAGGAGACUCUUGGAGAGAGCAUCGCCGUAGUUGAAGGAGUCAUGACAUUGUACUAUUAGGGGUAAGGUCAGAGCCAUCAUGUAAAAUAAUAAACCAAAUGAAAUUUGGAAAUAUUUUGGUUGCUUCACCACCACGCACUGCUCUUGUCUUUUCUCCUCCAUUUCUAUUGAUCUCUCCAUUUCUAUGGCUUCACUUACACCUCUAUAUUUAUAUUUGGUGUUUCAAAACGCAAGUAAUUGAAUAGAUAGGCCUACCAAAUAUACUAAAUUCAGGGUUUUGUAAUUUUUUUUUUUUUUAAAAAAAAAAAACAAGAACAUUUAGUUUAUAAUGAUCUUUGCGUGGUGAACUGCUUCUAAAGAUCGAACUUGAAAUAUUAUUAUUUAAAUCAACACUUUAGGACGUGUGGCAAAGAAGCCAGAAUAACUGCUGAAAAAACUCAUUCUUAUUAGGUUAAUUUAAUGCGUGAAUCACUUCUGAGUUGCACAAAUAUAAUAUGAUUUGCUUAGGAAUUAUUCUUGGUUUAAGUUAAAUUCGUUUGUUUAUUUAUUAAAAAAAAAAUGAAUAGUCAACAAAAAUCCCACGUAGAGGUGGACCCACGAUUCCUCGCCGUUUAAUGAACGUAACAUCUUUGGAUGGCAAUAACAAGUAAUAAUCUGACGGCUGGAGACAGUUUGAACCGGCUUCCACCGUUAUCAUUACUCUGUAAAGACAAAAUCUAAAGAAUAAGUGCUGAUGUAAUAGUAAAUGUCUGUGUGCCAUUUUUGGUUGAAAUCCAUCGUGUUUAGCAAAUAUGUAUAUUAAAUUAAGUCAGACAAAAAUUUGAAUUAGUGUUUAUGGGUUGUUUGUGGAAAGUUUUUUUAAAUCUUAUUUAUGAACUCAAUUCUGUCUAAACACUUAAUCCACGGAUUUUAAUCCAUUUAUUCUAUUCGGGCUUUGUUUUCAUGUCUUGAACCCAUUAAGAAAUUGGGUGAAAUAAUCAAAGGUAUUAUCAGUUGGGUUUGAAAGUGCUCAAAGUGAGCUCAUGCUGAUGAUCCAAUCCAAUAGGCUGGCGAUUUCCACCCUGCAUUUUAUGUAACCACAACCCACCAUAAAUAUUAGUAAAAUCUUUGUUGUUUGUCUAAAAUUUUAAUGAUUAAUCGAUUAAAUCCUCUUUAAUUUCUCUUUCAUCACUUAGGUUUAAUGUUUUCGUGGGCAAUUUAUGGUGCAUUUGGGAUUAACGUUGGAUAGUUGUAGCUUAAAAACUACAACACUAAAAUAUUUGAUAAACACUGGUUACAGUAACUUGUAAGCUUUGCUGAUAUGAUUUUUCAUUUAUAUAAUGAAAAAUUUAUUAUAUCUUUAACAAUUUUGUCAAAAUAAUUAUUUUAAAUAUAUAUUUACUACAUAUUAUUAAUUUUUAUUUAAUAGUUAUAAUUUUUUUCCUCAGCAGCUAUAAUUUUAAAGUUACAACAUUUCAAUCUCAAAUAGGACCUUAGUCGUUUCACAUAAUAAAAGUAAAAUUGUUAAAUUAAUUUUGUUCUAAGGCAAAAGAUAAGUAGUCCUAGACGGUGAAACAAUUCAGGUAACAAAAGAUAAAUUAAAAAUUUAAGAAGGAUUUAAGUGAUUGAUUACCAAACUACCAAUUUAUUUGAGUUUUAGACAAACUAUCAAGCAUCUUUUUUAUAAAUUGCCUUGUUCGUGGUUAGUGGGUGUAAUUGUAUUAACAAAUGGGGUGGAAAUAUACCCAAUCCACUAAAACUUUGCUUUACCCAAUACUGUAGUUUGGCCCAAAGGGACAAGGUUGGACCUUUCUUACUUCUUAGCUAACUCAAAGGCUAGGAGCUUGCCGUUGAUUAUUGACCAUUGACAUUCUCAAUUUGAAUCGUUCACAUCUUUCAAAAUCUUUGGCGAAAUAAAUGCCCUUCUUUGCAAGCAAUUGCCUAGGCUUCGUUUGAUAAGUUGUGUAGAAGCUAGGCUUGUAAAAUUAAAAGUUAUUAAAAUAUUUGAUAAACACUUUUCACUUUGCAUGUUAAAAUUGAUUUUACUUUAUAAUUAUUGAAUGAUAAGUUUAUGCUAUCCUUAUUAAUUUAACUUGGGAAAAUAUCCACCGUCCACCCGUUUUUUUUUUAACUUUUUCAAUAAUACACAAUUUCUUCUUUUUUUGGCUGGAAUCCACCUAAAAUUACAUUUUGUUUCACUUUUUCACUUCCGUUUGGAAUCCGUUAAGAAAACUAACGGAAACUUUUAAAAAAUGACCAUUUUACCCCUCAAAACGAAAAUUACAAUUUCACCUUAAAAAUUAUCAAAAAUAAUCAGAUUAAAUCUAAUUAUUUUUGCCAUCGGUCAAUAAAGAAAUUAAUUCCACAACCAUCAAAUGCAGGUUUUUUUUUUAAUAUGUCUGUAAUUAGAAUGCUGAAUUAUAACAGUAGUAUUAAAAAUAGUAUAAUCUCGCAAACCACCAAUUGAAUUUAAGAUAAGUAGAGUUUUAUUAUUCAUUGAGUUAGAAUCUCUAGUAGUUAAGAUUUUUUUUUACUUCAUUAACAUACCAAUAAUGAUAUUCAUCAUUAAAUCUGAUUAUUUUUAGCAUUUUUUAGGGUGAAAUUGUAAUUUUCGUUUUGGGGGUAAAAUGAUCAUUUUUUUAAGUUUCCGUUAGUUUUCUUAACGGAUUCCAAACGGAAGUGGAAAGUGAAACAAAAUGUAACUUUAGGUGGAUUCUAGCAAAAAAAAAAAGAAAGAAUUGUGUAUUUUUAAAAAAGUUAAAAAAAACGGGUGGACGGUGGAUAUUUUUCCAUUUAACUUUAAAAAAAUUUUUUAACUACCAAACACUUCUAUCGGACAACUAAUGCUUUCAUUUUAAAACAGUUAGUGACUUCAAAAUCACAACAUUCAAUGCCAAACACAAGCUUAGUCCUCUAAUUCCGCUCAAUUGGUUCUAUUACAAACAAAAAAAGGGGUAGAAAUUUCAUUCACUAGCCACAAUCUCUAUUUUACUCGUUCAUGGUAUGGACAUGCAAGGAAAGCUCACACACAGUAACAUAUGUGUGAGCAUUAAUUCUAUAGCAUCAAAAUGCAAAAACUCUGGCCUAUCAUGUCAUAAAAUCCUUCCGGCGAGGUCGGCCAACACAAAGCAACAAAGCCAUCCCCCUUUGCUGUGUUUUUGGUGAGCAGAAACCUGCCGACCUCCCUACUUCUGUUGACAUUAUAAUAACUCAUAUUAUAUAAAAUCAUCGAAAUUUCACACACACAGACACAGGUUGGGACCAAGAGCGCACACGUGCCUCUUCAACACAAAAUUGACAUUUAUUUAUUAAUUAUUAAAUGAAGGAUUGAAUAUCACUCAAGUGAAGGGAUAAGGUCAAAAAAUAAUUCGAGGGUUUGUAUUGUAGCUAGUCCAAAGAACACGCUUCAAGAAAACAAGUCAAGGUGGAGUUGGAAACAUUUUUUUAAGCUUUUUUUUUAUUUUUUUAAUUUAAUAUCUUCAAGGGCAUUUAGUGGGGUGGUGAGUGUACCACUCUAAUUUCUCAACUGAAACCUACCAACUAUUGACGUAUAUAAUAAGAGAAAGGGCAAAAGUACAGUAAAAUAUUUGAGCAUUCCCCAUAAAAAGUUUCUUAAUUCUCUAGUUCUCCAAAGCACUUGUCUUAGGGAGUCGUGCUAGCUUUUCAUGAAUCAUUUACCCUUUGAGUGGAAUUUAAGUCUCCAUGCAACGCGUCGAACGUCAUGUGUUCGUUUUAAAUUUUCAAUUUAGCUUCUUGCGAGCCCUAAAUGCAACUCGUAGAAGUUAACUAACAAAAUAAGCAACUUGCAUUACUUAAUACUCUUGAUCAUCCUGUUUUAGCUUCUUUAUUUAGAUGCAUCUGUUGAAAAUUUAACAAUAUCGAGUGAAUUUGUUCACCCAUUCGAACCGUUUUGCUGCUUAAUUUUUCGUAUUCCAAACAAACGAAUUCAAAAACUACAACAGUGGUUCUGGGAAAUAGAAAGGUCAUUUCCCAUUAUUUAUUUAUUUAUUUAUUAUUAUUGAAAAUGAAGGAUAACAUGGAAAUCAAUUUUUGAUCACGUGAGACCCAGAAUACACGUGACUCGUCUUUUCGGGGCAAUUAAUUAGUAAAAAAGCAGUGGCUAGCCUCGAUUGCCAUGACAUUCUCUGAUGAUGACAAAUAUCAAACUGCAAAGAAACAUGAUGAUGACUUUGAGACCACCCAAAUGCAUCCGUCCACAGAAACCAAUCGUGUCAAAGUGUGUGUUUGUUCAAUUUGUUGUUAUUUUUCAAAGGAGCCGUUGAAGUUGGUGAUGCCAUUGAUUCCUUGUUGAUGUUUCUGCCCAAAAAAGGACAACUCUUAUGUUUUGAAAUUACCAAAGGGAUGAGUUUUCUGCUACCAAUUUGGAUUCACAUGCAACUUUGAUUAAGUUAUAUAUGCGUGCUUAUUGCCAUAUACGAUGCAGCACUAAUAGAUAGAAUUUGUUAGAUCAUCCUCAUAACUAAACUCGAAAAUAUAACAUUCGAGUCAAGUUCUAAAUUCUUGGGUCAUGCGGAAGAAAUUUUAUUAGAUAACGUAUGUGUAAAAAGAAGAAAUGAAAGAAACGUGAUGCAACAAACGUAGAUAAGUUUUUGUAAUGACCUCUCUAAUCUACAAAUAGAACUUAUGUGUUGCUAAAAUUUGGAAAAGCUUGCAACAUUUAACAACUACUGACAACAUAAUGUUUUAGGUAAUCUAAAAUGAUUUAGGUUGUGCAUAUGGUGUGGUGAAACAAAGAUUUAAUGUACAAAUUGAAUAGGGAUGGUAAAAUUCAAAGUCGUAUCUAUAAAUUUUUUUGCGGAUCCAGAUGCGGGUAAUAUCUGUGCGGAUUGCGAGCGGAUUUUUCACAUAUCCGAAUCCACAUAAUAAUAAAUUUAAAAAUAAUUUUAAAUUUAAUAAUUUACCUAAUAAUAUUAAAUAAAAUUUAAUUAUAAUUUAACAAUCAACAAUUCAACAUAAAAAAGCGUACAACAACACCAUAAAUUCACAAAUGAUAAUUUCACAACAUAAAUCAAACAUAAAAAAAAAAUCUAAGGUAAAUGGAUUCAUUAUAAUAUUCUCUAAUUAUUAUUAUUAUUAUUAUUUGUUUAGUUUUUUAACAUAUUUUUCAUAGUCAAUAAAGAUUAUAGAGUUAAUUAUGCUUAUAAAUAUUAAAUAAAUAAUUUAAUUUAAAUUUAAAUUUAAUUAAUUAUAAAAUAAUGUGAAUUCAUAUAUUUAAUUUUCCAGAUACAAUCUGUAUUUUUUAACAUAUGAAUUUAAAUUUUUAUGUAUCCAGAUCUUCUGAAGUUUAUUUUAUUCCCAUCCAUUAAAUCUUUUUUUCUUCCCUAGCUAAUGAUGUGACAAUAUGUGAAUUUAAUAUUUCCUAAUAAAUUGACGGGGAGAAACAAAAUAACAACGAUGAAUGCAGAUUGACUUCAUUCAAUCAAUCGCUCCUCUCAUGAAGAGGCAACCAAAACGGAUAGCAGUUCGAUACCUUCAAGGCUAAGCCUCCAGUGUGAACCGACUGACAAUUACACAGUACCAGAUUUUUAACUAUAAAUAAUGUGCCAAUCAAAUAGAACUAAUAUUCUAAUAAUUAGGCACGGAGCUAAAAUUUAGGGUUUUUUUUUUUUUUUUGUAUAAUUACGAGCUUAAUGUGAGGCCCCGUUAACGAAUUCCACUAAUUUGCUUUAAUAAUUACAAUCAAAUCAGCGUAGCUGGCCAAUCUCAACGUUCGAAUCGGUAAAUUCGUAAAUUUCACCUCAAAUCAUCAUUGCGUGUGGAAAUAUGUAAAAAGCUGCACAAUGCACCGAAGCGACGUCCGCAAUUCACCGCAAACGAACCAUGACACGUGUACGGCAAACAACACACGCCAUUUGGCGAAAAUCCAACAUGGAGGUCGAGAUUUUCCGUUAGUAUCGUUUGCCAAAAUACUCUCCUCCAGAAUCUAAAAUGUAAAUCUCCUUCAACAAAAUACGAGCUUAAUUAAAUCUCAACCGCCCAUAAAUAACAAUAUUGUCGACGCAUGAAAACAAAAAAUAAGAGAUCGUUAACAAUUUUAUCAUCACCACGUGGACCCACCUCAACGUCUUCUUUCUUUCUCCAUUUUCCCACUUACCCCACUCUCACGUUAAUUCCUCUCUAUAAAACCGCCAUUAAACCACCAAAUCCCAAAAGAAAAAAAUCUACCCUCACCUCUAUCAAUGGCGACCCUUGCUGCAUUCUCUUCCUUCUUCUUCUUCUUCUUCCUCGUAACCUUCGCUUCUGCAGGUAACUUUUAUGUUAACUCUUCAUUGUUAAUUUAGUAUAUGAUUUUUUUCCAAUAUGAUCCCCGUUAUUGUCCCCUCAGUUUUACUAAUGUUAGCAUUACGGCCCCUGUCGAACAAAAUUUUUUAAUUUCCAAUUGAGCAUUAAUAUUUUGUUGCAGAUACUGGCAAGGUAGGUAUAAAUUACGGCAGAGUUGCAAACAACUUACCGUCGCCGGAGAAAGUUGUGGAGCUGCUGAAAUCUCAAGGAAUCGGCCGAGUUAAAACAUACGACACUGACUCAGCCGUACUCGCUGCACUCGCGAACUCGGACAUAAGCGUCGUCGUUGCGUUCCCGAAUGAGGAACUCUCCAAGGCCGCAGCUGACCAGUCAUUUACUGACAACUGGGUCCAGGCCAAUAUCUCCAAGUACUACCCGGCAACGAAGAUCGAGGCCGUCGCAGUGGGCAACGAAGUCUUCGCAGACCCGAAGAACACGACGCCGUUUCUCGUCCCCGCCAUGAAGAACGUUUACAACUCCUUGGUUAAGUACAAGCUUGAUUCUAACGUUAAAGUCUCCUCUCCUAUUGCUUUAGGUGCGUUACAAAAUUCGUACCCGCCAUCUUCCGGGUCGUUCAAAUCGGAUCUCAUCGAGCCCGCUUUGAAACCCAUGUUGGAGUUUCUACGUAAGACGUCGUCGUAUCUCAUGGUUAAUGCGUAUCCUUUUUUCGCCUACUCUGCUAACGCGGAUAAGAUAUCUUUAGACUACGCUCUGUUUAGGGAUAAUCCCGGUCAGGUGGAUUCAGGUAACGGGCUGAAGUAUAGUAACCUUUUUGACGCCCAACUCGACGCCGUUUUCGCUGCCAUGUCAGCAAUCAGUUAUAACGACGUGAAGGUUGUGGUGACGGAGACUGGAUGGCCGUCUAUGGGUGACGAGAAUGAGGCGGGUGCUGGUGCGGCCAAUGCCGCGGCGUACAACGGGAAUCUAGUACGUAGAGUCUUGUCUGGAAGUGGGACCCCCUUGAGACCAAAGGACCCACUUAACGUUUACCUCUUCGCUUUGUUCAAUGAGAAUCAAAAACAGGGUCCCACAUCGGAAAGGAAUUACGGGUUGUUUUAUCCCAACGAACAGACGGUGUACGACUCGCCGUUUGUGUCAACUAGUGGGAACUCAAGCUCAACGCCGGCAGCCAAUAAGAGCAAGACUCAAGUUCCGGUGAGCGGAGGAGGCGGUGGUGACGUGUCGCCCUCGGCGGCGGGACAGACUUGGUGCGUGGCUAACGCGAAUGCUGGUGAGAAAAAGUUGCAAGCCGCAAUUGAUUAUGCCUGCGGAGAGGGAGGCGCUGAUUGCCGACCGAUUCAAGAGGGCGCCACGUGUUACGAUCCUAACACGUUAGAAGCCCAUGCAUCGUAUGCCUUCAAUAGUUAUUAUCAGAAGCAAGUGCGUAAGGCUGGAUCUUGUGAUUUUGGUGGUGCGGCCUACGUGGUCACGCAGGCUCCUAGUAAGUAUCCAAUCCCUUCUCCCAAUUAUAAUUUGUUGUGUUAAAUGUUAAAUUAAUUAUUUGUUUUGAUAUAUAGAUUUGAUUUUAAGCUUUAUUAUUAUUAUUAUUAUUAUUAUGGCUGAAAAAAAACUGGGUGUUUGCUGUUUGUGAUGCAGAAUAUGGAAAAUGCCAGUUCCCAACUGGCUAUUGAGUGGGAAAAAAAAUAGGGAGCAUUAGCUGAUUUGUGGUCGCGGCUUACGAUUGGUGAUGAUUUUUUCUGAUAGAUUUAGAGGAUUGGAACAUUAAUUUUUCUCCCUUGUAUUUAAAUUUUACGCUGAGUGGGUGGGGUUGUUAUCAGUUGGUUUGACUCUAGUGUCAAUAUGAUCAAAUCCUUAUUGUAUUUAUUCUAAUGAUCAUGAAUUUAGUCCAUUAUUUUAUGUGGAUACAGAUCAGAUUAUGAUGUUGCAGACUUUAUGUUAAUGUCAUUCGGCAUCUUUUUUGUUGUUUUAUUUUCUUGGCUUGAUAUAUAUGUAAUUUAUAUAUGUUGAAAAAAUAGCACGCAGAUUAUUAUUUCAGUCAUAAUUUUGAGUCAAACUUAUUUGGUAUAAUUUCUUUUGAAAGUAAUUUAAAAGUAAUGUAUUUAUAUACUCAAAGUGGUGAUGCUGAGAUGAAUAAAAAACUAACACUCAAAGUACACUUGUUGACUGUAUCGAAUAAAAGCAGGAGUUACAAAGAAUAUAAUGAUUUGUUAAAAUUUAGAAUUAGUUCCAGAAUUUAUUAUUUGCAACUGCUAAUUAAAUUCAGAAUUUAUUUUGAGAUUGUAACAGUUAAUUAAAUUCAAAUAUUAAUAAGAAAUUAAAUCUAGAAUAAAAAAAAACAUGAUUAAUGGGCUGCAAUUACACUUUUAAUGAGAUAUUGAAAGUAGAGGUUACAAAAUUUAUGUAGUUAAAAUUAUGGAUAAAUUCAUUAGAUAAUCUAAAUUCCUCCACUAUAUCAUGUAUGCCUUUUUCAUAAAGUUCGAACACAAUGAAGUUUGAUGUAAAUAGGAUAGUGGUGCAAAAUAAUUAUUUGAUCAACCCCAGAGUAGUACCCAAAAGUUCAAGUUUUAUUUACUUAACCAACGUGUGUUUAGUUGAAAGAUGCAACUUUUUUUUGUGUUGGAUUCAAUUUAGUCACACCCAUAACACAAACAUACGAACUUUACGAAUACAAAUCGUUGUAGAUAAUCAUGUAAAGAGAAUUGAUGUUGUAUUUUUGUAAAACGAUGAUCUUUUUUAGGCGCUCUGAGAACUUUCCAAGUUAUGAGCUAGUGGCAGUGUGCAGAAGCCCAAAAAAUAAUUAUCUUGUCAAAAUGGCCCCGGCAAAUUUCGGCAAUGGUCUGGUCCGUUUGGCAAAUAUUAACAGAAGAACUUCUUUGUUCUCAUUGAACACAUAGCCUUUAGUCUGCUUACGGGAGGAAAGACAAGAACUGCAAAUUCUAUUCUUUUAUAAAUUUAUUUUAUACAAAUUGAUUUCUUUUAUAAUCUAAUUUGUUAAACCUAUUAACAUUAUCAUGGUCUUUUAAAUAUAUGAAGAUGAAUAUUAUGAUAAAAAUAAAUAAAGUACUCUUGUUUAUUGGCAUUUUGCUUAUAUACUUUGGCAUUUUGCUUUAACUGGGGAUCCAUAAUGGCAACAUGGAUGUAAGACACCAUCAGAUCAACUUAAAAAAUUCAUUGCGAGAUGAGUAUUUUUAAAUUGAUGGGAAAAAGAAGGAGCAUCAAUGCGAGAUUAAUAAAGUUUUGCAAAGCAAUUUAUUCAAUUAAUUAUUUUUAUAACUUUUAAUAAGUUCAUGUUUCUUGAUUUUCCGUUCUUGAAAUUUGGAGGAAGGAAGAUAAAAUUUUCAAACUAGAAGAAACAAAGAGGGUGGGAGGGAAUUAUUUGACUUUUGAUAAAUUAAUUUUUAAGUUUAAAAAUUAUCGACACGUGUCAAAAAAUAAUUAGUUAGUGGUUCCACAUCAUCUGAUGACAUGAAACAUCAGAUGUAUUGUAGAAUUUGUUGGAGGUUGGUUGAAAGACGAUAAUAUUUAUUAAUUUUUCAAUUAUCGGAACUCAUGGUUAUUUUAUACAACCAAUCUACUUAUACCACAUCAAUUUGUACAUACUUAUUUAUACAAAGUAGUUGUUACUCUUAUCAUUACUCAAUUGGAAGAGGAACCGAGGAAAUAUCUCAAGCUGCCCUCCUCACAGCCACUUCUAAGGCUGAGUGGCGAGUGGCUCUCUUACCGUUGGUAAAACAAAUGGGCCUUUCAUGCACUGGAUCUAAAAUGUUGGGGCUGGAGAAGAACAUGACCAACUAUACAAUUUCCUUUUUGAAAAAUAAAAUAAAAUAAAAUUGAUAGCUACAAUUUCACGACAUUUAAGGUCAAUUGUGUUUAUAUUGUAGUAAAAUUUAUUUUUAAAAGUACUAUAAAUUUUAAAAAUAAUAGUAUAUAUUAAUAAAUGUUACUGUUAAAUUGCAAUUCGUAUGAUUUUAAAUUUGCUACUGUCAAGUCUACGCUAUUUUAAUAAAUACCAGCACCUUCCUAUUAGGGUAUUAUCAUUGAACAAUAACUACGGUAUGUAGAUGAUCCACAAAGUACAGGUGGCAUACGGCAAUCAUUUUCUUAAUUAAAUAAGGAUUCCACUCCGAGAUAUCUCGUAUGAACUCCUACAGUGCCAUCAAAAUUACUUGUACAUGUACACAAGAUACUUUCUUUCACCAACUAUCAGCCACAAAUAAUGUGAUAAACAACACAAACAUGGUUACAUGAACCCCACUUUUUAUAUUUAUAGUUAAUUAAAUUGUAAAUAUAUUUUUCAUAAUAAAAUUUAUAAUAUUAGGAAAUUUAGUUUUUUAUUGUUUCAAAAUUAUUUUGAUUUUAUAAAAAAAAAAUAUAUUAGCAUUUAAGUUGAUGAUUUGUCUCCCAUGAAAUUUCCCCCAGAGUUUUAUGAGGAUAUAAAAGGGGUGUGACAAGCAAUACUCAAUCAUGGCCCCACGGCAACAGGGUUCCCCCAGAAAGGUUUUGGGCCGUGAGUCCAAGGAUGUGGGUAAAAACUCCAACAACGUUUAUCUUACCUAGAAAAGCCCAAUAAAAUUCUGCCAAAGAAUUAAUGACGUGUUUACUUGAGGGUUUAGGGAAUGAGAAUGAAAGAAUAUGAAUAAACCUCAUGUUUAUUUGGUAAAAUAUAAUUUGAGAAUGAAAAUAAAAUAUGUGAGUCCCACACAAUUUGGGAAUAAAAAAUGAGAAUCUCAUUCCUAUGGAGGGAUUGGGAAUGAGGAUUCUCAUUUCUUUAACUGACUUUUGUAUCCUCUAAUUUUUUUCAUUAUUUUAGUUAUUAUUAUUUUUUAAUUAAUAUCAUUUUUAUAAUGAUAUUUAUACAUGUAUCUAAUUAAUAAAAAUUACAUUAUUUAAUAUUAUGAGUAUUUUGGUAAAUUGAUUCUCAUUACUAUUCCUCAUUCUCAUUUAUUUUACCAAGUAAACACAUCAAUAACAUUCCAGCACAUUCACAUUCUCAACCAAUUUUCAUUUCGCCCCAUUCUUUUUUCAUAAAAUAAACGGACCAUAAGUCAAUAACAGAAAGGAAUCAUUUCUUCUUAAUGAACCCUCAUCAUUUUUAUCACAUCAUUAUUAUGGUCCUAAAUGUAUGAAUACAAUUCAAAAUAAAACGACUUUGAAGUGUCAAAUCCAUCCAAUGCCUCUCAUAAAGUCAUCAAAAAUUUGGAACCACUCAGUAGUCUACCGUUUACUCCACAGUCAAAUAUGUAGAUUGCAAUAUCCUGGGUUGAUCGUACAUUUAUAAUUAUAAAAAUCUAUAGAUAUAUAUAUAUAUAUAUAUUUUUUUUUCAAUAAAAAAAAGCCAUUCAACAACCAAGUUUAAAAAAAUAUUAGAGUGCGAGAUAAAAUCCCAUUUUAGUUUAUAACAUAGCACAUAUAACAAAAGUAUUUAAACUUUUUUUUUGUUUUUGUUUUUCCCUUUUGGAAACAAACCGUUUAAAGUUCAAACCGAUUUAUAACUUGUACAUAACUUUCCUUAAAAAAUUGAUUGUACAGUCUACAUGAACGAUUAUUUUGGUAAAAUUAAUUACUAAACUAUAAACACAAUGACUAUUAAGCGGAGCUAUUCGGCCCCACUCUAUUAUCAAUGAGACCCCUCAAAGGCUCAAAUCUCUGUUUUAAAUGAAAUCAUAAAUUAAGGACAAAAGAAUGUGUGAAAACAAAAUAGGGUGGCAUUAUUGAGACCCAAUAUAAUUUUUUCAUGAAUCCAUCUACUUAUUAGUAUAUUAAUUAUUAAAAUUUGAAAUUUUAAUUUCUACACUAUAAACCUACUAAUAUACCCAUUAUACCCUUAUCAUCUUUAUAAUUAUUCGCGAAUUCUAGCUCCAAUUCCGACUUAUUCUUUUGUCAUAUUUUUACGGCCAAAUCCUCUUGACUUGUUCCAGUAGAUUCCCCCCCCCCCCCCCCCUUUUCUUCCUUGAUUGAAACUUUAUCUCAUUUAAAACUCCAAUUUUUAUUUUUUUUUUGGCGCUAGCUACAUUGUUCUUGGUUUAUGUUCAUGACAAUAAGUCUUAAAAAUCUUACUAAAUGAAACUCAAAAUAAAUUUGUAAUCUUCGUAUCUUUCGAAAGAGACCUUUCUCAAAUUAACUUUAAAGUUUAAAGUUACCAAAUUCCCAGCAGUCCGAAAUAGGAUUUUGAUAUUCACUUCAAAUUAUUUUUUUGCCCCCGGUUUUGUCAUAGCUUACUAGCUUUUAUCUUCCCAAAUAUAAAAUUCGUGAGGCAACAGACCAAGAGAAUGUGAAAUUGUGAGGUUUUGUCAUUAAAUUUUGCUUUUAUGUCCAAUUAUUAUUAUUAUU